rnacentral:lncRNA from 1 species
ACGGACAAACUAGACGAGGAUCGAAGAUCAAAUAAAGAUAAACUCGUAGAAAAGGGGUCCGUCGAUAGAUGUCCUAAUUAACAUAGCCGGCUUGACCUAGAUGGCAGCCGAGUAGUCUUCGUGCAUGUGCCCCCAAUGACUAGCCCAACUCAGUUGUCGAUGUUUAACCCUCGCAGUGAUACGAAGCACAUGACACCUAAUUUUGCGAGAUGACAAGAAACCUUUUUUUAGAUUUCUCACCAGAACUACAGCUCUGUACAACACAGCCUGCACGAUAUGUAGACGAUAGUCAAUGUAGGCGUGUCUGCUGGAGUCUGGUCACAUGCAUGGAUGACCCGAUCUUCCAUGUCUUGCAGGGAUCGUCCAGGCACCAAUGUAUGUACAACACUUCUCUAGUACUACCUCCGUCCUGGUUUAUUAGUCCCCCUCGUAAUGUGGGUGAUAUUUUGACCAUGAUUUUAACUAAAAAAAUACAAGUUAUAUAUAACAAAAUUGAUAUCAUUGGAAAUUACGUUGAAAUGCGAAUCCAGCAAUAUAAUUUUUAUGACAUGCAUUAACAUUUUAUUAGUCAAAUAUGUGGUCAAACUCUGACCCGAACUACGAGAGGGACUAGUAAACCCGUAUAGAGGUAGUACUAUCCCUCGUCUCUCUCUUCUACUAAUUCACCCAACUUGCAGGGCCGGGAAGUGUGCUGAUGGUCGGUUCCCAAUUGCAGUCCCACAUGUGUGUGCAAACGCAAUAUGACGCGCGUUCCAUUCGGAGAGUGGCAAGCUAGACUAACUGACCAUCUAGGGUGCGACGCGAACACGGCGGGCGUGUUGUAUACUCCGUACAUGUGUACCGCCAUUUUCUUGAGGCUUUGCUCCAUGGCGUAAUCCAUGGAUACAAAAUUAGUAUAAUGUACUAUUUAAAAGUCAAGGGAGGGGCUUUUCCUGCGCGGUAGGCGGGGCAGUUCCACCUAGUCGGUUUGACAGAGAUGCGAGAAGAUGAGGGAGCAGGAUGCUGCAAAUGUAGGGCUGUGUGAUUUGACAGCGAGUUACGGCUGGACAGGUGGGGCCCUGUGAUUUGACUUGCCAUUAUCAUUUUAACUGCGGCACUACGACCGGCGUGAGUCUCCCGAUUCCUGACCACCUCCAUACAGGUGCCUCUCCCAAUGCUCCACCAUGUAUAGGCUGGAUCUUGCAUGAGAGCCCACUCCUCCACUUUUUCCUUGCCUCUUUCCUCCACAUAUGCAAAAAUUCCAUGUAAAGAGGGCUUAUAGCCCACUAUUGUACUUACUUGCUCCUACAGAUGCUAAGCCUACCACAUAGGCAUAAAGUCCAAUGUGGCAAGUUAACUAAGAAGAGAGAAACUAGUUUGGUGACCCAAGGAAGAAACGGUGCUAAGCGUGUGUACCUAGGUGAAAAGACAAUUUUGAGUCUAUAGCUAAUUAAAUGAAGCAAACUUAGCAACAAAAAACUAAGCACCCAUGCAUUGGGGACUUGAUUGCUAAGCCAUUUAAUGCCUUCGCUCCUCAUCUAAGCACCAUUUCAUUGGAAGAGGUCACUCCUUGGCAAAUGGAAUAAAUACUACGAAGAAAGAGAUAGAGAGAAGUAAAAAAACUCUUAUAGCCAACCUUAUAGCUAACCUUGUUGUAGUAUGAGUGACUAAGUGAGGACUAUGUAUGACAUGCCAACAUUAGAUAGCCUAACGCACCAUCUUAAAUAUCCAAGGGCGCGACCGCACGAGCGAGGCGACGGUCGUGGUAGGCGCGACCAUGAUACAUGCUGAUGCGGCCCAUGGAUCUGAGAUCGAAUGGUCGCAUGCUAAGUUGCUGAAAAUUUGCAGAAUAACCCUCCAGGAUAGGAUAUUCACCCAUAGGUCUAGAAUCACGCCAUGCAACCGUUCGAUCUCAUAUCCAAGGGCUUUCGGAAGCCCGUAUCAUGGGAGAAUGGAAAGCUUUGUAUCACCUGUAAUUUUCCCGACGCUUGACAUGACAUCGAAAGCCAUUUAAUUGGGCGUCGAGUAGACAUGACAUCUAAUUGGCCCCCCAUAGUACUGUGCAUGAAUCCAUUUAUCCACCAGGCAAGCCACUACCCUGUCGUUCCCACGCCCCACUCAGCAUUUUUACAAUCGAAAAAUUGCUGGUAGUUCGCUCCUACUCAUCCCCGGACGUCCUUUAACAUUAUGGCAGUUUGCUCCUAGUCGUCCCGUCCUUUCACAUUACGGCAGUUCUACUAAUCCUAACCCUCCUCCCCAAUCCAUGGCGUCCCAAAUCUCCAUGAUCGGCGGUGAGUACAAGGUUAGAACCAUCACUGGCGAUGAGUUCAACAUCAUCUACACCUGUUCUUCCACGACAGUGAAAGGAUGCCUUGCUCGCUUGAGACGCAUGUUCGAAAACUCAAAUGAUGAGUGGGUCGCUGGGCUAGAUGUUGAGUACACCACAGUCCUGGGAACAGAGAAGAACCUAAAGGAGGAAGAGAAGAAGAAGCCCACCAUGAUCCAGGUUUGCGUGCAAGACUAAUGCUUGGUCUACCAUAUAUACCAUGUCGACGUUGACUGCCAGGAUUUUAAGAACGUCCUCAAGGACGGCCUGGUCAAAUUCAUUACUGUAGACUUUAGGAACGACUGAAAAGUCCUGGGUUGGAUAGGCCUAGUUGUAGGCAACCCCUUCGACCUCCAGAAGAAUGGGAUGUUGCCCUCCCGUGAUCAGCCUUGAAUGCUGACCCUGGCAGGAGCCAUCGAUCAUCUUUCGUAUGGUAAACUGAAGAAACAUCCGCACAUGUUUCAUCAUCAUGCAUGGCAGUGGAAUGUACUAGAUAUAGACAACAUCCAGUACAGUGCAAUAUAUGGCUACCUUUGUUUCAAUAUUUACAAGGGUUGGAUGAAGAGCAAGAGCCAAGUGUGCGGUUCAAGCAAAGAAGUAUCAGCCAAGAGGAAGAGGGACAAGGACGAAGUUGAGGACAUGGACGAGGACUCCGAGUAAGGUGACAGUGUCGUUGCUCCUGGUGGUUCUAAUGCCGUGUCUACCGGAUUAGUUGCUUAGUUUAAUUUUAGGUGUGCUUAGUUUAAUUUGAGGGGUGUGUUGUGCUGAGCCCCCAGCAGAACUAUGUUAUGUUUCUUCUUGUUAUAUUUCUUACAUUUCAUCAUUUAGUUGGUAUAGUACUACCACCUAUUUCUUCACAUUAUACAUACAAUAUAUAUGGUGAACAUCAUAUAGCCAGCAGUUUAGUUGUCAAAGAAUUCCAGGGUGCUUAGUUUUAUUUGAGGGGUGUGUUGUGUUGGACACCAUUAUUGUGACUCAAAUCUUUUUGCCAUGUUAUAAUGACAUAAAUACCGAUGGACCAACAUGCCAGCUCUCCCUCUAUCUUACUACAGUAAAAUAAACUGUGGGGCCUACUUGAUCCCAACAGCGUUCUUAUUUUCCUGUAAAAUUAUUUGCUUGGUUACUCCUGACAAGCGGGGGCACACUUAUCAGUUUGAGAAUCGGCUUAUUUUUGUCAUGUAACAUGGUCAAUGGGUUUGACGUGAAAAUAACAAUGUCUAAUGGAAUUUUUGAGAAAACAUCUAACUUAACGAUGGCAUUUUGAGAUAUCUAAUUGCAUUUUUGAGCAAGCAUCUCACGAAUCGAUGGCAUUUUUGAGUAGUUGUAACUUCUAAUGACAAAACUAAGUAGUGAUACAAAACUAGUGGCAUAAAUAAUAAGAUCCCAAGAAUUAAAUAGGUAUGCUAAUGUCUUUAUUUCUUUAAUAGUAUUAUAUGCAUAAUUUGGCGACGAGCACUCUCUAUAUGUACCACCUUUUUUCUUUAAUUUCAUCUUGUUAGUUUUGCUCCAUGGCGCGAUCCAUCGAUACUACUAUUGUGCAAAACUAUACAUUUGUUAAAAGGCUAGAGGGCGGGGCAGUCUAGCUUGGUCGGUUUCACGAGAGGCGAGGCCUUUGUGAUUUGAUGGCUCAUUACUGCUGGAAGGUGGGGCCUUGUGAUUUGAAUGCUCGUAUAAAUGUGCCGACCUGAGGAGGAGCAAAGAACCGUGCGGUAUAAUCAAGUUUUCCACUGUAGUAGUACUACGACGGAGGAGCACGAAACACGGCAGCCUAGUGCCAUAUCGCGAUAAAAAUGAUCUAAUUUGCUAGUCAUCUCAUUGUUAGCAUUGUUAUAUUCAUGCCUCGCACAGAACGUGACACGUGCGGCGAAACACCCGAAGCAAAAGAAGAAACACAUGAGCAAAAGAAGAAGGAAGGUUAUCACCCCAAAUGAUCUAAUUUGCCGCAGAGUCGUAACUGCUUCUUCAUCGCCUCCACGACCUCCAUCUCCUUGCGCGUCUCCUCCGCCAUCUUCUUCAUUAUGUCCAUGACGUGGGAUUUCUUGACGCGAGCCUUCAUCAUCUGUUCCACGGCCGCACUAUGUACCUUGACAGCAGUCAAGUGCUCGAUGCGGAGCUUCGCCAACUCCUUCUAUUCCAUGACGAGGGCCUAUAGAAUCUUCAUCAAGGAACUACUAUUCUCAUGCAGCUUCUUCUAGCCAGCGUUCUUCUCCUUCAGCAGGUCGAGCGUGUGGCAGAGCUUCGCCUUGUCCUCCUGAAGUUGCAGGAUUUUGCCGGUCACCUUCUUCUCCGAGGCAAUGCUCUUCUUUAGCAGCAUCACCAAGCCGGCGGUCAAAUCCCCGUGCUUAUUGAGCUCAUUGGGCAUGUCGUCGUGGCUCUCCUUCAGUAGCUCCACCAAACAAUGGAUGUACUCCUUCUGCUUAUUGAGGUUCUUAUUGAGCUAAUCGGGCAUGUCGUCGAGCGAUAAUGACUCCAGCACUGCUAGCUCGGCAUGUUCGCCUCCGCGGCUAGGGCGCUCCUAGGAGCCAUAGCCUGCCCGUGAGAGAUCUUUCGAGGUCAACGUGGUGGCGAGCCCUUGUUUUUUCCGUAGCCUUGGUUGUCGCUCCCUUGUUACGAGUAGUUCUCGACCUAGAGCUCUGCACACCGUCCAUGGCAAGGACGGACGAUGAAGAAGGACUUAUGAGGAGGAAAGGUAGAGUAAUUUUCGGUUAGGUAGUUCCCCUUUUUAUAACCUAAGUACUAGCACUGGUACUAACACCUGCAUAGUGGGAACAUGUUCAGGUUUGGUACGUACUAGUAGGUGUGAGCAGGCUUGGACUUAAUUGUAGCACUAGUACUUUCGAAUGUGAUGGGAACAAGGUAAAGAUUAAUCGAUGGUUUUGGUUUCGAGGCCCGAAACGGCUCCCGAUGAGUUUAGUGGAACAUAAAUUUCAAGUAGACUACACUGCUCAAAUGCGUAAAUAUUAUGUUACUGUAAAAAAUGGGCACAAAAUACGAAAGAGACUAAUGGAAGUACUACUAGCAACCCAUGAUUUAACUACUCGCAUGCGCGCAGUGGAGUAGUAAUGUCUUUCUUCCGCCCUCACGUCCACUCAAUUUGCAUGCGCUGUAUUAAUUGACCAUCAAUGAAGUGAAGGACUUUAAACACGUCAAAUUAUCACAUGGGGUGGAUCUUGGUACAAAAUUGCGUCCGCCCGUGUACCCGAGGUGUGCGUGCGAGGGAAUGAGUGCGUGUGUGGCGUGUGUGCACAUCUUCGCUUCGUGCAUGUACCGCCAGUGGGGCUUAGAGAGGACGAGUACAUUCUUCUGGAACCAGCAGCACGUCACUGUGAUCAAUCCACACAAGGAGGUCGCUACAUAGCCUCCACAUGUGCCACGUGGCUUCAUGAACUGUAAGAGAGACACUGUGUAACGUGCCAUUGGAAUUCUAAUUUACGUGUUUUGCACAUACUCGAAGUACUAGUAAAGUACACAUGCAUUGCACGCAUCAGAUUUGGCAACCAAAUUAUGAAUAAAUACCACACUAUAGCAUGUAAGCUCUGAGUCAUAUAUGCCUGAUGUAGACCUUCGUUUAAUUCUUAUAGGUCAUCUCAUUCAAAAUCAAUUAGUUUUUAUAAAAAAGCUAGGGUUUCUUUGAUUCGUAGGAUUUCCAAAAUGCGAGAAUAGGAAAAACAUGGGAUUAGAGUGGAAUGCGUCUUGAAUUGUACAGGAUUGUACGAGUGUUUGAUUGUGCAUAGACAAAACGCAGAAUUCUUUCAAAGAGGUUUGAGUGGAUGGGAUGUUUCCUAUGAAAUAUAGUGCAAAUGAAUCAUAUGGAAAAAUCCCUAUGGUUUACAAUCCUACGAAUCAAACAACCAAGAUAGGAAAAAUUCCGAAGGAUUAGAAUCCUCCAAAAUUCCGUUGAGAAUCCUUUGGAUCAAAGAAGCCCUUAAUCUAUUUUAUGAUUCAUGGAAUUGUGCGUUGUAAAGCAUAAAGUAAAAACAAAUAAUGGUAAUUCAACUAGAAAAAAAGUUUGGGAAGUUAUGAUAUGGAAGAUUCUAUAACAAAGGAGAACCACUGUUGUUUUGAGGUUUGUGCAUUAUGCUUAAGUUCAACCAUGGAGUUUGCUAGAUUGUACAUGUGGCAAAAUCCGGUGGGGGCUAGAAGAUGGUGCGAGGGUCCAAGUGGAGGGAGACUAUGAAGGAGUGCACAAGUGCAAGAUCGAUAUUUAGAGAGAGGGGGCGAGAACGUGCGUUGUUGCACGUAGUGGCGGAGCCAUGAAAAAUAAAUGAGCUAGGGGGCCAAGCAUUGCUAAUCCUUUACGAGGAGGGCCAAUUCAUCAACUUAAACCAUUUUACCAGCAAUUGUCUAAUGAUCACAUUCAUAUUAGCCUCGAUAUAUAGUGAUGUGAGGGGGGGGGGCAGGGCCCUUGCUGCCCCCUAUCUUCGCCAUUUUGUGCGCGUCUGAGAGAUGAAGCAGAAGGCAUGGAUGAUGAGAGGGGCACAUUGGAUAUAUAACUAAUGUGGGUGUAUUAUCUAUAUAUGUAAUCCUAUAUAGAGAGGUAUAGAUUGACCGAUGUGGACGUGGAAAAUAGGGUGGGACCUCACUAGAUAUAUAGAUUGAUUGGUUUGUGUGGAAAAGUAUGAAAGACCUAGCUAUAUACACACACACAUAGAGGAACAUCGAUCAUUGCGCAUGCACGUGAGAGAUAAAGAAUGCCCGAUAUGAUGGAGAGGGGGAGGUGUGUGUGUGCCUGCAUGGGAGACCGACCUGAAGAAAAAGAUUGCAUGUGUGCGAUGGAUAAUGCCGACCGGUAGUGUGCGUGCAUGCAUGCACAAGACAAAGUUAGUGGUACAAUUAGAAAGAGAAGACGACUGUGUGGGUGUAAAACACUAGGUCAGGUCAUAAUCAAUGUAAAGUUGAAUUCAAAUAUUUGAAUAAGAGAUCAUGAUGUUUAAAACCCAUGAAUGCAUGAAUAUAACGAAGAUCUGCGUAGUGUGGUUUGGAAACGAGCAUGUUGUAAUGUAUACACAUUGAACAAGGUCAGACUGAUUUGAAUUUGAGAUACCGGUAGCAGACAUCAUUUGAACACAUUGCAUCCGUGCAUGGACACACAAUUCUAAUUGGAGAUGAUGGGUGGCUUUAGCAUCACAUAUCUAUAUCUAUGCCCCUAUAUAUAUUAUAUUAUAUUUUUUUUACAGUGUGCGGAUAACUUUAACUUUGAAAGAUGGUUGUUUGAUGAGAACAAUCCUAUGGUGCAGAGAUGGCAAAUUUGAGCACUACUAGCCGUUGGAUAUCAUCUAGAUUCCACCAGAUUUUGCCAUAUGUACAAUCUAGUAGACUCCAUGGUUGAACUUAAGCAUAAUGCACAAACCUCAAAACACAAGCACUUCUUCUUUGUUCUAGAAUCUUCCGUAUCAGAAUUGCCCAAAUGUUUUUCUACAUGAUUUGCCAUUAUUUGUUUUUACUUUAUGCCUUACACCGCACAAUUCCAUGAAUCUUAAAAUAGAUUAGCUUUCUUAUAAAAACUAGAUGAUUUUGAAUGAAAUGAACUAUAAGAAUUAAACAAACAACUUCAUCAUGCAUAUAUGACUCAAAGCUUACAUGAUAUAAUGUGGUAUUUAUUCAUAAUUUGGUUGCCAAAUCUCAUGCGUGCAAUGCACAUGUACCUUACUAGCCUAAAUGGUCUUUGUGUGUGUGUUGUCCGUGUUAAACACAUUGUACGUAGUAUAUCAUACAUGGUUUAGAUUCCGAACACUAGCUGGAGCAUACAUGUACUAUGAUUUGAAUUCAACACAAAAUGGAUACAUAUAUUUGAAUUUGAGAUCCUAUGUACAUGUAGUUCGUAUUUAUAUAGGAAUUUACCUCUCCUAUAUUCAUGUCAUGUGUUGUGAAGAUAAUAUUUAGAUGGUUGUAUAACUAACCAGAGUACAAUCCCAUUCAAACAGGGAAAAUGUACUCAAAUUUAGUCCAUAUGCUAGACAACACACAUUGUUUUUUUAUUGUUGAGGGAAGUGCAAAUUGUUUUGGUACCGUACACAUUAUGUUUGUUGUCCCGAUUUUUUUAGUUUUUUUAUUGUAUUUGAAGGCAUUUCUAGUAAUAUAGUAAAACAGGACAUGGCUCUCUCUAGUGAUGAGGUGUGAAUUGUCUUUUUUGGGUACACGUUAAGCUUGUUCUCCCGAAAUUUCAAGCGGCGCCAUGUUAUGCCGAAAUUUCAAGCUAGCGUCUCUGUCUAUCAUGCUACGAAACUCCGGCCUCUUCAACCCGCGCCUUGUUACCCCAAAAUAUUUAAGAUAUAUCUUUGUCUCGUUGUGCUUCGACAACUCCCUCCAUCUCAACCCACGCCUGGCUAUUCCAAAAUUACAACGCACACGAAAACUCCCACCUCCUGUGAAAUCCCGACACGUGAAAUGCCCAUGAUACCCCUGAACCGAAAGAACCGCCUCUAAUCGGUGGGGGUACUUGUGUAACUUACCCCACAUUUCAGACAAGUGCGUCCCUAAGCCAUGGUUCCUCACUCCCAUCCCAUCCGCCCACCCAUUCAUACACCGAGGCCCCAAAACCCCGUGAAGCCCCACACCCUCCUUCAUCCGCCACCCAGCCAGAGCCUCUUCCUUGAUGACGUCGUCCACAACAACACCUCGACAUCCCUCAUCAACCGUACUAGAUGAGGAUCCGUCGUCGAUCUCGUCGUCCCACAGGUUCAGCCACCCCGUCCUCCACCUCCAAGGAGCUGCCCCGAUGUUCCCCUUGUCUUUCAUGCCACCUCAAUUCCCACACCGCCGUCUUCACCUGCACCAAUGGAAGAGCGGCAUCAUCACCGCUUCCUCGGAUGAAGCUGAGGCCUAAUCGGCACCACCAAAGAGGUUGUACACUAAUCACCGCAUUUUCUUCUUGAUUCGAUCUCACAGUGCCGCAGGCGCUCGGUCUCGAGCCGACACGAUGCGGCUCCAUCCACAACGGCGUCGCCAGCCACUUCCUCCAUGGUGUUGCUCCCUCGGUGGUGACGCCCACAUCAGCAGGAGCUGCUGCUGCUUUAGCUCUUGCUCGCGCUGCUGCUGUACUCUUGCUCUCGGUCCCCUGUCUGGUCUGCUCUUGCUAUUGCUCUUGCUCGCGCUGCUGCUCUCGCUCUUGCUCUUUCUUGCGAUGCUGCUUCGACUUAGCUACACUUCAGUCGACUGAAUCGACUUUUGGGUCAGUCCAUUUUCAGGGGGUGGGGGGCUCGCCGGAGUUAAGGAAGAACCAGCCGCAGCAGGGAGGGGCUCACCGGAGAGGCACCCCACUAUCUAUCUUAGGGUUCAGGGUGGGGGUGGUGGUCGCCAGUGAUUGUGGGGCGAUGGCGUGGGGAUCGCCGGAGAAAAAGCUCGGCAGGGGGGGCUAAGGGAUGGCCGGGGAGGCGGCGGACCGGCAGCGGGGAGUGAUUUUGGGGUGGGUGGGGCGGCGCACUGCCGGCCGCGUGCGGCGGGGGGCGGUUGUUUAGCCGUUGGUGGAUGGCGGCUCAGGCGGGUGGAGGUUGAAGAUGAACUACAGGCCCUUGAUUUUGUAUCCAACGGCUGCAAAAUCGACUGACCAGAGAUGAAAAAGUCAGUCGACUGACGUGUAGCCUCACCUCUAGUGCGUUCAGUUUCGGCAGUAAAAUUCAGUUUCGACAGCAAAAUUCAGUUUCGACAGUUAAGUUCAGUUUUGACAGUUAAAUUCAGUUUCGAUAGUUAAGUUCAGAGAUGAGCGGCUGAUGUAUUUUACAUUUAGCACAUUGUGGUUAUGUAUUUUACGUCAUCUAUUGGAGAUGCUAUUAGAAUUCCACUCAGGUUAACGUUGCCUCUGUUGUCCUGCUUAAGCCUCGGCGUCGUAAAACUCACCGGAGCUGCUCCAAUGAUGAAACCCUCCGUCAUAGUGGAGCAGUACCUCGGGCUCCAUCUCCAGACGCCUAAGAUCUUCUUCCCCUCCUCCGACAGCCAAGUCAACCGGAGCAUCCUCACCAUCCAACCCAAUCACGCUAAGAUCGACAUGGCUUCGCCAAAGAGGUUGUACACUUGUUGCAUCUCUUUUUUACUCUACAUGUUAUAUAUAUUCUCCACUAAGCACAAGUAGUAACGUGAAAUAUGAUUAUUAUAUCCUACUAUAUGACCAACAGUGAGGUACCAGGCAACUUAGCUAUCCGUGAUGGACUCUCUUGAACGUCAUCAUUAUUUAUCUCUCCGCGUUUGAGCUGUGCAUUUGUCGAUGGGCCUGGGAGUUGAACUAGUAGGGCAGUGGACUGGGUCCAAAGUAAUAGAAGUAGCACAAAAACAUUUUUUUAGUGUAGGAUUUUCCUUGCUCAAGCGUGCCUACUAGAAUCGCCAGUGCUUGAAAGGAAAAGUGAAUGAAAAACAUGGGAAUUGGAAAGUUUCCUAUGGUACUACUAUUCAUGAAUUUGGUUCAAAGGAAUGGAGCAAAGGAAAACUGUAGGAUUUGUUCCUUUAGUGUCUCCUUGAAUGAAAAACCAUAGGAAUUUUAAUUUCCAAUUGUCCACCUUUUCUAAUUCCUCUUCAUGAAGCACAAGACUAAGAGAUAGUAGCAUAAUAGCAUUAUAACCGUACAUUUUCUUGUGGUUUGACUUAAUCUCACCAUGCUUCUUUGCAUCUUGUGAUCUUCCAAUACUUGUGAAUCAAACACCCAGAUUGGCAGAAAUCUUGUGUUUUUAAAUUCUCUGUUUUGCACGUGCAUUCCUAUCCUAUUCGUGUCUAUUUCCUAUCCCUCCAUUGUUAGAAUCCUCAAAUUCAAACAAGCCCUUACACAAUUAGUUCUGUUACAGAUAUGUGUCAAAGAAAACCUUGUGUGGUUUGUCCUGCUCCUGCAGCACUGUAUUCCACCCCAGCUCAGCUGCUCCAACGAUGGAAGGUUUCACCACAGCAGGGAUCCGCUCUCCAGACUAUCUUUUGCCACAUCAGAUCUUCUUCCCCGUCACCAGCAGCCACGACAACUGCAUUACCAUCAUCAACUAAGCAGAUGACUUUGAGGACUACAUGGGUCCGCAAGAGAGGUCGCACUCUUCCGUGUCUGCUUACGUUAUGCAUCGCUUAAUAUGAUGACAUGCUACUUUAUCGUCGUGUUCACCUAUUAGACUCGAGUCAGGUCCAAACUAAUGCUGAAACUUGAUUUUUAAAAUGGUUGUGGGGUACAUAUUGGGGCAGCAAUCAGUACUAUCUGUCUACUAUCUGGUUAAUCUCGGGUGUCUACUAUGAGCUUCAUGUUGGGUGCAAACAAACAUUAAAGGAGCCAUUAUCUGAUUUUUUUUAACUAAAGCUAUUAUCAGCCUACUAUCAUUGGUUUUGGGUCUAUCCACAGUUUGAUACCAUCACUCUGGAUUUUUGCAUGCACUCCUUACAUAAUCUCCCUAUGUUUUAUUCCUAUGCAUGUCAGUUAUUGUACACAAUGGAACUGAACAUGUAGAGGAAAAGAGACGAGCCUUGCGUGGCAAUAAAAUUUCAUGCAGACGUUGCUCCAUGGUGGGCCCAAAGGCAGCCCCCCUCCACCCAUUUCGGAUCGUAAUCAAGAGGAAGAUAACUGUUCUGAGGGGGAUUCAGAAGGAGAAAACUACUCCUAUUUACCCCCUGAGGUCUUCGCUCUAACUUGGCAUGCUGAUGUUGGUAAUAUCAUGCAUACGGUGCCUUGCAUUUCUUACUGUAUACAUCAAAGAUGUCAUCUGCUUAGUUUAGACAUGCUUUGUGCUAAUGCAAUCUGUUUAGGUUCUUUAUCAUAUAUGUGAAUCAUGCAAUGCCAUCUUGUUUAGCCAGGCAUCACAUAUGUGAAUUUUGCAAUGCCACCCUGGUUAGCCAGUCAUCUUAUAUGUGAAUUAUAUCAUGUCAUCAUUUUUUAUUACGUGUUAAAUUUGUCAACAAUUUUAAUACAUUCAAUUAAUCUUCUUAUGCAUCAGCCAUUCAACACGGUCAUGGAAAAAUCUGGAGUGGAAACAAGGUCUUCAGAGCAGACAAUGCUAUUAGAUGAAGCGCAUGUCUUGCUGGUUACGGAUAGCUCCUCAGAGGAGGAUUCAGAGACAGAUGACCAGUCCUAUCCCCCCCCCCCCCGAGGUGCAUGCUCUAACUUGGCAGGGUUAUGUUGCUCAUAUUGUGCGUAUGGUAUCUUGCAUUGCUAUGUCAUUUGCUUAGUUUAGACAUGCUUUGUGUGAAUGCCACUUGUUUAGUGUCUAACUACCAUAUAUGUGAAUUAUGUAAUGCCAUCUUGUUGCAAGACAUUAUAUAUGUGAAUUAUGCAAUGUUAUCUUGUUGUAAGGCAUUAUAUAUGUGAAUUAUGCAAUGCCAUGCUGUUUAGCCAACCGUCAUAUAUGUGAAUUAUAUCAUGCAGUCCUUUUUUUGUAUUUCUCAUUGCAUUUGUCGACAAUGUUUGUAUAUCCAACUACUCUUCCUGUGCAUCAACCAUUUGAAUUGGUGGUGGAGAAAUCUAGAGUGAAAGCAAGGUCUUCAUAGCAGACAAUGCUACCUACUGAAGCAGAUAUCUUGCUGGUUAAAGAUAGCUCUUCAGAGGAGGAUUCAGAGGCAGAUGACCAGUCCCAUUAUCUCCCUGAGGUGUAUGCUCAAACUUGGCAAGGUUAUAUUACUCAUAUCAUGCAUAUGUUGUAUUGCAAUGCUUAGUUUUUACAUCAUAUACACAAUAUUGAAUGCCAUCUCCUUAGUUGACAAAUCAUAUAUGCGAUUGCCCUCUGCUCACUUCCUUAGUAUAUAAAUCAUAUAUUUGAAUUAUAUCAUGCCAUGAUGUUUAGAUAGACAGCAUGUAUCUGAAUUAUGGCAUGCCGACCCAUUUUCUAAAGACAUAAUAUAGUUAUAUUAUCUCAUCAUGUUUACAUAGUCAUCAUAUUUUGAAUUAUGCCAUUCUCUCCGUGAAUUAUAUCAUGCCAUCAUGUUUCCAUCGAUGGCAUGUUUGUGAUUUAUGGCAUGCCAACCACUUUAAUAGACACAUCGUAUAGUUAUAUCAUGUCAUCCUGUUUACGUAGUCAUCAUAUUUUGAAGUAUGUCAUUCUAUCCUGUUUAGUUAGCCAUCAUACAUGUGAAAUUGUGUCAUGCUAUCUUGUUUAAUUAGCCAUCAUAUAUGUGAAAUUAUGUCCCGCUAUUCUGUUUGGGGGGAGACAACAUAAAUGUGAAUUAUUUCAUGCCAUGUUUUCUUCCCUACUAUCCAUUGCACCUGUCUAUCUUACAAUGUCUAUACAUUCAAUUACUUUUUUUGUUUAUCAGCCAUUUCAAUAGGGGGGUGAUGGCAGUAUCUGUGGGAGUAAAAACACGGUCUUUAGAAAAGAUCGUGCUACCUGUCGAUGUAGAUAGAACCACGGUUGUACUUGCCCAAGAACCAGCCCCAACACACAUAACCCGGACUCACGUGGAUUGUACCCCUACCCAGUUGGACAGAGAACCAGCUACACCCCUUGUAACCCAAACCCUAGCAAAAUAGUAACCUAGUUCCAGUUGACAAAACACCGUCUCCACCACAAAGCACCCAAACACGAGCAGUUAGUAAGGCAACUGCAGUUCCCAAAGCACGAGGACCACCACUCCGAACCCCAAGUCAACGCUUAAAGCAGAAGAAGAAUUGUUCCCAGGUUAGGUUUCGCAGCUAUGGUUCAUACUACUUUGCUCUAGCAUCACUGUAUUUACUCAUACCAACUAAUUUCAAAUUUGAAGGACGCAAUUGAAACUCCAAUGGUGCAACAUGUAUGUUUUAAACUUGUUUCUUGAACGCGUUUUCUGUUGUAACUUGCUCUAUGCUGAUUUCAGUUUCAAAUGAAUAAACAGUUAUGUUCUCAUGCCAUGCACAUUACAAGUGUUGUUAUUGUUGUGUAGUUUCCCACACUUAUAUUAUGUCUAUGUUGCUUUGUCUUAAAUAGAUAUGAUUCGAACUGUAUCUAUCUUGAUUUGGCAACAUAAAUUAGAAUGAUAUAGACCAUACAGUGACCAUACUACAUAGAUAUAUGUUUGUUUCAUGUUGUUAUCAUGUCCACCUUACUACUGAACUGGUUUACCAAAAUGAGUAUCAUAUACUACAUUAUAAACCUGUGAUGUGUUUUUUGUUUCUCUUUUAGAACGCGGAUAAAAUAUUGGAGAAGAGUACCCGUUUAUGCAAUGGUAAAGGAAGUAAUGCAGAUAAGGUUCAAGAUAGUGAGACAUCCCUGUUGGUCUCCAAGAAAGAUGAUAAAAACUAUAUUGAAGACACUGAGACAACCCCAAAGUCAUGUGUUGAUGUAGUGUUCAAGUUACUGGCUACUACUGCUGGCACCAGCUCUUUGAACUCGCUGCCUGAAUCAGUUCGGCUUCUUGAGUUUCAACUUCAAGUUGAAAGACAUCGAUCAGAUGUUAUGCGACAGGAAGCCGAAGGACUGCGGAAGUCCCUGCAGAAUUCAAAUGCUUACUUUCUGGUGCAACAGCAAGUGCUGGAAGAUUUAAGCGCCAAACAAGAGAAAGUUAAUAAGCUUGCUAAGCAUCUUGCCAGCAUUAUGGGUACCCAGGAUAUUGUUUCUUGAGCUCUUCUGAAGUGGUUUCAGUUCUAGACUUGUUUUGAUGCGGCAUUUAUUUGCACUGGUCGCCAACUUUGACAACCAGUGUAUAUGAUAUGCUUCUUUGAUCCCUAUAUUUGCACUGGUGGAGAACUUUGAUGCCCAACGGAUGUAAUAUGUGUAAUAGCCGUGAUAGCCUAGCGUAAGUUGCUUGCUUAUUUAUUUCCUUAUUGUCUUGUUUAUUUGUUUGCUUGUAGUUCGUGCAGUUCUUUUUCCGCGGUUUGCUAGUGGCCGCAAUAACCUAUUUUUUUAAACUAGGCCACAAUAACCAUGGGCUACAUAUUUACUGUAGUUACCAUGGGCCUCCUACGGGCCGUUCAAACAAUGGGCCUUCCAAGGGCCGUAGAAACAAUGGGCCUUCUAUGGGGCGUAGAAACAAUGGGCCUUCUAUGGGCCGUAGACACAAUGGGCCUUCUACGGGCUGUAUCAUCAAUGGGCCUUCUACGGGCCAUAUGAUCGGUUGGCCAAACAUGGGCCAAUAGCGAACCGCAUUAUGGCCAUAAAUGGGCUAGAGUUGGAAUCAUCCGUUCAUGGGCUGACCAUAACGGGCCAUCGUUAAUCGGUUGUAUUUGAUGACGCUAUGAAAACGGCCCAACGUAUUAACGGGCCACAAACGUCCCAACUGUAACCACGGGCUGAAUUUGGCCCACAAGCAGAAAAUGACAGUAAUGAGCCAUAAGUAAACGAAUGCUGGAAUGAGCCCAAGAAUAAAUGGGCCCUGAGAAGGCCGAAAUAUAACAUGGGCUGGAAACGGCCCAACGGAAUAAUGGGCUGUGAAUGGGUAUAAAGUGAUAUACUGUUCAUCACGGGCUAGUUUAACCACGUGCCGUUAAUGGGUAUAAAGUGAUACACUGUUCAUUACGGGCCAGUUUCACCACAUGCCAUUAAUGGGCCAAGAGUUUCAAAGGGCCUCAUAUGGGCCAAAUGACGUCAUGGGCCAUACAUGGGUCGGAAGUUAAAAUUGGCUGGAAUCAUAUUGGACGGCCCAGAUGACUCUACUGGGCCUAAUUCGGAUAGGUCGUAAUGGGCCCUCGGUUAGCAGGCUGUAAAUGGGCUAUAUGCGAACAGGCCGUUUACAGGCUUUUCAUGGGCCGGCCCGCCACCUUUUGACCAAGUCAAACUGGCCGACCUUUUCAUAGGAUUGGGCCUCUGUUGGUCCGUGCCACGUGUUGACGUAUCAUAGGCGCCUUCGGUCCAAUGAGUGGAUGACAUCUGUCCCAACGAUGAGCCGACACGUGUUUCCUCCAGCCAAUGAUGAUUUUACAUGUGGAAAAUCCCCAUUGGUUGGGGCUAUUAACGGGUUAUCGAAUCCAAAACCAGACCCGAUAGCUUAACGGCGUUCCGUUACGGUGGAUGCAACAUGUCGGUCACCCUUGACGAAAGCACUUCUAUGACCCGCGAUUUGUCAUCAUGGAAGAGGACACUUCCGUGAUGUUAAUUUUUGUAAUGCCAUGGAACACUUCUAUGACAACACAUGUAUGACUAUCUGGAUUCUGUCAUAAAAUCGUGAUGGAUGUACAUGCAUGACAGAAAACGUGAUCUACUGUGACAAAUACGUAUCAUCGCGGAAGUCUAUUUUUUGUAGUGAUGGUGGAGGGGGAGUGCCACGAGCUUUUCACCAGGAUCCCAGCUUCAUCUCUAGGAUCCCAGCUUCGACCCUGGUGCUUUGAUCGACCUGGUGGCUCCCGAGUCCCGUGAUUCUGCUGCUGAGGCCGUGGAGGAGCAGGUGAAGGCCCUGCUGGAGAAGUUCCUCUGCGUCGACCCCGCGACCGCGACGACUGUAGCCGAUGGCAAAGAUGGCGGCGGCAUCGUUGAUAUCGAGCUUCCCGCAGCAUGCGACAUUGGCAACGAAGGCGAUGGCAGCGCUUCUUCCUAGUUUGGUCCUGCGACAUUUAUUGUGCCUCAUGGAGGUGUGAGAACUUCUGCUUCAAACUUAUGAGACAUUAUGUUUGGUAAUAACUUGCUUAGGACUCCGUGAUUUACUUUUUGUGCUUGAUUUCCUUUCUGUUUGCUUUAUUCUUCUGCAUCGGCAAGGCCCGGCCCCGCACUUACCUCAACCGCCGUUGGGGCAUCCGAAUCACCAGGACGAGAACAAGGGUUGAGGGGCUACGUGACCAGUGAGGCCCCUGAGUCGCGAUGCUCAAGGGUCCCCCUUGACGUACGAACAACCCUCAUGAGGCAAACAUGAGUAGUGUCUGGGUUAAUCUAGAGCCCCCAUACCUCUCCUCGCCAGCUUUUGCCUGGGAGGGUCGCGUGAAUACCAGGCUCAGGAGACCUGAUGAGGUGGGGUGCGCCAGGCGUGGCCUGGGCGCGGCCCCCGUGCCCAGCCUCCUCACGCGAAUCUCCCAUGCGGAAAGUGUUGGAUUUCGGGUUAACCUUUGAUAGGUUCGAACUCUGGGGUGUGUGUGGAGAUCUCAACCUACCCAACCUGCCUACUCGCGAUCCUCAAAGCCUAGCGCGUCGAGCUCAAAGGGACAGAGAGACACAACAGUUUAUCCUAGUUUGGGCCACCUCGCGGUGUAAUACCCUACUCCAGCGUUUUGGUGGAUUAUCUCGAGGGGCUAAGGAUGAACUAGUAAGUGGAUAAACAAGCCUCAGGAGGUGAGGUGCUCUUGAGCUCGGGUGAGCUGGUGAGGUGACCGGAUCACAAUGGAUCUGAUCCCCAUUCUACUCUUCCCCUCUCGAUUCGACACCCUUUCCAUUGUGGUGGCUAAGUCCUAUUUAUAGUGGCCUUGGUCCUCUUCACAAAUGUUGGCGGGAAGGGAUCCCACAACGGCCAGAUUUGAAGGGGGACAAUAAGUACACCAUAUCCUGACUAAAGUGGUCUUCUCCUGUGAAAAGCCUCUGGUCGUGACACUACAGUGGGCUCGGCGACGACCGCCGUCUUACCAUCCGGGCGGUCUUGGUCUUGUUGCACCAGAAUGGAAACCUUGGGCUGAUUCCUCGGGACUCCGCGCCUGCUGCUUGCCUCCUUCCCUGUCCUCCUAGCGCCCGCCUGGCCUUGAUCAUCGUGGCUCACGUCAGCUCAACCUCGUGAGGUGCACCUUGCAUAGGAGUCUCCGCCCCUUGGGAGCCAGCCUGAGGAGGCCGAUCCCCUUGGAGGUCUUGGCAUUGUCCGCCUCGGGAGGCUUGACCCCUCGCGAGGGUCUUGAGUUGUUGAUGCUGAAGGUGGGCCGUACCAGGCCAUCGAUGGAGCCAUGCAGUGGGCCGUAGGAAGGCAAGUCUGGGUACCCCUGUAUACAGAACACCGAUAGAAAGCGAUUCGGUGAGGCCGGACGGCAGGCUCGAGAGCCCUCCUAAGGUUACUACAGCCGCUAGGGUGCCCUUAGUUGUUUAUUCACCAGCGCGGAGCAUGGUGCUUCCACUCUUGCACGGGCAUAGCUGCUCCUCGACCAUGUCAUCUGCCAGCUCGGAGCACGGGGCUUCCACUAGUGCAUGGGUCGGAGCUCCCUCCGAGGGGAGACUCCAGGGCGUCUAAAACCCUGUCCUGACACGUGGCUUGCACGGUAGGACUGGAGGAGGUGUAUAUCAGCACCCGUGAGCCAGCGCGGGACUCACGGGCGCUACCUCAAGGCGGGUGUCCGCAUUCUGGGAACGGGGGUACCCAGACUUGCCUGCUUGCGUCCUGCGGCGUGGCUCAAGGAGUGGCCCAGUACGGCCCAUCUUCAUCAACACAUGCCCAAGACCCUCGUGAGGGGCCAAGCCUCGCGGGGCGGAUGACCGGAAGCUUCCUCAGGCACAGCCUCGUCAAGCUGGCUCGUGAGGAGGUGGAGAGAUCAAGGCAGGGUACCUCACAAGGUGCCCGUGAUGCAUGCCAUGACGACCGAAGCCAGGCGGGCGCCAGGCGGGCGCCAACCUGUGCAGAGUCCUUGUUUCCUCUUUGGUGCAAAGGGAGCAAGCGCAGGCGAGAGUAUCAAGCAAAGGCAACCAUUUCGGUGCAACAAGACCAAGACCACCAGAACGGCAGGAUGGAGGUCAUCAUGGAGCCCAAGCCGGCGUCACCGUCGGAGUCUUUGGCAGGCGAGGACCGACUUUAGCCGUGAUAAGUGUACUAGAUGUUCCCCUUCAAAAUGGCCAAUUGUUGGCGCCCUUCCCGCUCAAUAUUUGGGAAGAGGACCAAGGCCUCGCUCUAUAAAUAGGACCAGCCACUCUCAAGGCAAGGGGUCGACCAAUCGGAUCCAGGACAAGUAGAACUCCACACCAGCUCAAGAACACCCCUCGCAAGGUUGUUCUUCCUUCUGUACUGUUCCUCAUCAGCCCCUGAGGCAAUCCACCCCAGCACAAACUAGAGUAGGGUAUUACACCACAAUGGUGGCCCAAACUAGUAUAAACCUCGAUUCCCUUGUGUUGUUCUUCGUGUAGUUUAGAUCCUUGCGAGGCGACGAGACGUAGGUAGGUAGGAGGUGCGAUCUCCGCGCGCACCCCAGAGUUCGAACCUUGAGGGUUUGCCGGAACCUGAAAUCCAACAUUUGGCGCGCCAGGUAGGGGUGCGCCGGAAUCCUUCUCCCACCGCUUGGCAUACCGUCGCAUCAUCGCCAUCAUGUCCGGCGAGCCAACGGGCAAUCCCGAUCCCUGGGCGGCCAUGGCCCGCCCGCGCAGAGCCGCUUGCCCAGGGCGACCUCAACCCCGUGCCCCAGGCAUCCUGCGGUCCGUAGGGCACUGCAGGCCACGGGCAACGCAGUCAGGCAGUACCAGCUCUCACGUCGCGGCAGGUGCGGUCGACAGCAAGGGCCUCAAGCCACACCACGGCCACGAUGUUGUACACCCGGCGGAAGCAGGCGAACUCAAGGGUCGCGCUCACGGUGGCCCGAGAGCUACUGCAAUGGAGGCUGCUGGAGGGCGGCCACAACGUGCUACUGGAGCGGGUGGCAGAGCUCCUGGGCUCCGCCGCCUCGGGGGCUCACCCCUUCUGCACCCAGCAGCCGCCUCAGGUCCAAGGCGGACCGCACGGAGGCCCCGCACGCGCCCGCACAGCUCCGAGCGGAUUCCAAGGCCGCCCCAACGCCAACCUGGCCAUUAGCGUCGGGUUGCCAACAGUGCCGCCUCCGCCUCCGACCAGCGAAGGGGCAUUCACUACAGCCCACGGCCCCGGUGGGCCGCCGCGCUACCACCCCCAGGUGAGCACCUCAAGCAGGACUGCAUGGCACACGGGGCACUACAGCGAGGCAUUCGGGGUGCCAGCCCCAGAAGCAUAUGUGCCCCACAUGGUGGAUCAAGGGCACGCGCAGGAGGAAGACCAUGGCUCGUUCCUCGGCCCAGGCUCGGGGGAAGAGAUGCUGGAAGCUGAGCUCUUUCAGGAGCCUCGGGAAAGCCUCAUCGACCGUGCUGGAGGCAGCGACUAUCGGGUACCGCUAAUUCCUCAGGAACGGGCAUACGCUAACCAUGGAUCACAGGAGGUACAGGUCGUCGCGACGGACGGCUGCCCCAAUCCAGCAGCUGCCUACCCCUCAGGAGGAGGGUACCGGGGGCUGCAGGAAAUGGGCCGAGAUCCGGCCUCACCCCCGCGGCGCUCAGAGCAAGGCAUCCUCAGGAGGUAGGCCCUCUGCAGGGGAGGUGCCUUAGGGCCUACCCCCGGCAGAGGACCCGUGGUCGUCGGGGGAACCGCUGGCGACCGCUCAAUCCCAUCGGCGGCGUCCUCGGUCUCCGGCCGUCGUUGAUGGCAAUAGAGUGUGGCGCAAGGCGGGGCCCUCGUCUGGUGAUAUGAAGCAAGGUCAGUACCUGUGAAGCUCGCUGCCCCGUGACACUCUCACGUAAUAAUGAGUGGGGUUGUACACGCCCUGGAGUCUCCGGAGAGCAGCCCUUGGGCCUCGGGGGCUCCCGCCCACGCCCAGUGGCAGCACUUAGAUCCGCGCUGGUGAGAAGACGUCGAAGACUAGACUAGGUGCCGGACGCGGCCUUUCUGCCUUUUUGCCUUUCCCUUGGUUGUCGUUUUUCCCCUGUUUAAAUUUAAGUUGGAUUUGAGCUUGAGGCUUGCGUGUGUUCGGGGAAGGGGUGCUUAGUCUCAUUCGAGCAAUCUCUCGUGUUCUAGCUACCGCUUUGCGUCCCUCCAGCUUCAGCUGCCUCCCCUCGUGAGCCCCUCGCGAGUUGGACUAGGCCCAGCACGCGCGCUGCCCGGGCUGCCGUCACCGCGCCCUCUCAGGAGGUUCUCACUACAGGUUCAAUGGGUUCAUUCAGGAAGCACCCGGGACACCGCGGCCCCCCGCGGACUCGCUCAGGACCCAUGCGGGUCAAAGGUAAACAAGACAAUUGACUCAUCACGAGACCAACCGCUCGGUAUGGGCAUGCAGGCGACAUCAUGUGUACAAAAAUGCUAACUGCAAGUUUUUACACAAGGGGCUCCCCCUCCCAAAAUGCUCUUACAACCUUCAGGGCCAAGCCCGAACUCUCGCAGGGUAAAAAUAAGGAAUAACGCACGGUCAAUCGGAUAAAUCCCCCAAUGCAUCCUCAGGGGCACCUCCGGAGUCGUCACUGGCGUCGCUAGCCUCACCAUCGCCCCCUGCAUCACCGUCAUCAGCAUCCGGGCCAUGCACCACGCCGCCUUCGUCAGCAACCACGACCACGCCAUCGUCAUCGGCGGUGAAGGCCCUAAAAAGGCCGUCCACAUUGUCUUCCACCCAAUGCGCCAGGUCGCCCCGGAUGGCCAGGGGUACCGGUGCGAUGGCGGCAUCCAAGUCAAAAUGGGGGUCCCUGUCCUGAAGAUGACUGAAGACGCGAGAAAAAGCACGUCCAAGCAGGGCACGACUCCGCUCCUCCACCAACCUGUCGGCUCUGCCCGACCGAGUCUCUAGUUGUGUCACCACAUCAGUGAAGAACUUAAGGUUACCAGCAUAGUUAACCUCAUGAGGCUCCCCAACGGCUGCCUCGUAGAUGUUGCCAAGGCUGUGUUAGCUCUCUCCCAAAGCGUGCAGAGCAUGGGGCCAUGCAUGUGCUCCAAGCUUUGCCGCUGGUGUAUCUCAUCCUCGUUCCAUCGCGCGACGGCCUCAGCCACGCCAACACUUUGACGGAGGAGGAGCACCUCGGCGCGGGAAGAAGCCAGCUCCACCUACGCUGCACAAAGGGUGCCCCCGGUGGCAUCCACACGCCGCGUCGCUUCAUCCAGCCUGGCCUUAAGGACGGCGGUCCUGCCCUCUGCUUCGACCCUGAUCAGCUCCAACCUUUCCCUGUACUCGCGCUCGAGGUUCGAGCGAGCCUCCGCCACCCGAUGGUCAACCUCUUCCUCGGCCUGGGCUUCCCGCGCGGCGACAUCGUCUUCCGCCUGCGCCACCAGGCGCUCCCUCGUCUCCAACCGCUCGAGGUCAAGAGUGCGCUCGGCGGCCUCCAGCGUGAGUGCCUCCUCGCGUCUCUGGAGCUCCGCCUGGUCAACCGAAGCCCCCUUCAUCAAUGCAAGGGCCACCUCACACAACUCCACCUGCUGCUCCAGGGAGCUACUCCAGGCCUGGAGCUCCCACGCCCACUCCUCUGUAGCCUUGCGCCGCUGGUCAGCCUCCCGGGCCUCCUCGAUGGCCUGGGAGCAGGCCUCUCGAGAAGCCGCCAGUAGCGCCUCGGCCUUCGCAUUGUUGAGGUCACGCUAGUGGUGCACAAGGGCAACGACCAGCUUCAGCUUGCGCCUCUCCUCAGCUAGGCGCAUGCCUUCGGCCUCCAGGCGCGCUUCCUCGACGGCAAGCUCUACACCGAGAUGGCUCACUGCGUCAGCCGCCCUCUGAAGAAACCCUUGGCGAAGGGCUCGUCGCUCCCGAGCGUGCUCGAGCACGUCUUCCGCGUCGUCCUCCGCCCCUGGUGCGCACGGAGGGCCGCAAACCGGCACGCCCCCUCUGGGCGGGGGGCUGGGGGCUGGCGCCCUCGUGAUGGCCGGGCGCGUCCCGCCAGAAGCCUGGCUCAGAGCCGGUUCGUCCUCCAAGGAAGAAUGCGAGACCGACCUCAGCCAGUCGCCGCCCACGAUCAAUGGAGGAGCCCGGGGCAGGCUGGCUGUGCCCCAGGGGAGCUCGCAAAGGAGGGUCGCGAGGUGCACAAAAUGAGGAUGCUCCGCAGGAUGGCUCACCUCUCCAACCGACUUCACAACAAGGGCAGUGCUUGAACUCGGGACGCUUGGGGCCGGUGGAGAGGGCGAGGCCUGGGGAGAUGGCCCCUCGGCCGUCCCCAUGAACUCGGCAGGAAGGUCCCUGUAGGGCAAUGGUCAGCUGAAGCAACGGGAAAGUAAGGGACUAAGAAAGGAGAAAGCUUACUCAUCAACGGUGAAGUACAUACUGUGCUUCAAUAGGCGGCAGGGAUAAUCAUCACCACCCAAGGCCUCCCUUCUCUUGCGGAGAGCCUCGAAGUCCACGCGGAAGCAGCCUAGGAGCUCGGUGCAAGGGUCAGUCUGCGGCGAGGAAGAAGCACCAAGGUGACCGGCGUCGGGGGCAUUGCCCUGGAGCACGCCGCCGGGUGCAGUCCCGUGGUGAGUGGUCGGGGCCUCGGGAGCCUCUGCCACGAAAGCCGCGGGCCAUGGCUCAACGUCUUCGGCCGCCGUUGGGCGGGCCUCAGAAGCUGUCACCUCAGGAGCUCCGCACGGCGUCAUUAUCCCAAUGGCAGACCCCUCAGCCCCUAGCGGCCCUUGCCUCCCUGCUCCACCACUCGAGGAAGGACCGCCGCGGGUGACCGGGAGGGCAACCACAGCAACUGGGUUCUCACGAGGUCCCAUGAGGCCUGCUAGGCGCAGCCCCCAUUCAUCGAAGCUGGGCAUCUGCUUCACAAAAUCAGCCCUGCCUGAGCAAAGGUACAGCAAGGCACCCCCUUGCCGAAGGCUGCCAGGGGAAGGGUCCCCAGUCAGAAUCAUGAGAACCUUCCUCGGCGCUUCAGGCGCCAGAUCUUCCUUCUGGAGCCUCAUGCGGUCUUCACACCCCCCAAGGUCCACAUCCGGCGGGAAUGAUGUUGGAGAGGGGCAAUGCGGCUCUGGAGGAACCCCUUCACCACCUUGGGAGCCGUCACACCGAGCGCCCUCAAGUUCCCAAAGCGACACCAGACGAAGGCGAGCCGGGGGAUCAUGAGCGUCUCAUGGCCCCAGCCCGAGUUGGGGACAGCGGGCAAGGUUGGCUCCGAGAGCAGGGGGCUGGGCACUCCGACAUCCACGUACAGCCACCGCUCUCGGAACCCAGUCACAGGCGGAGGAAGGCUGAAAUCAAUCCCCGAGGCUGCCGUUUCUGGUGCGGUGAGGAAGCUCACGCACCCCGAGCAUUGGGUGGGGUCGCUGAGGCGCAAAGAGAAGAAGUGGCGCAGCAAGGAAACUAAAGGAGGAAUGCCCACCAUCGCCUCACAAACAAAAGCUAAGACGGCAAGGAGAGCAAUGGAUUUGGGACCCAAAUGCAUCAUGUGAAUCUGGUAAUGGGAAAGUAUGGCAUUGAAGAAAUCGGAAAAGGGGGGAACCAGUCCUGCCCACAGGCCGUCGGCGAAGUACCGGACCUUGGUGACUAUUCUAUCAAUGGAGAAGUGAGACGCGGGCCAGACCGUUGUCCUCCCACACUCAUUGAAGAUGGUGGCAAGGGCAGAAAUGACCUUGCCCAAGGCUUCCAGAUUGAGUAUGAUCGACUGAUCCACAACAGGAGCCGCCGACGGCGGCGAGCGGGGCGAGGGCACAGGCUUCUUCCCUUUCCCCUUCUUCGUUGGCGCCAUGGCGACGGGAAUGGGGAGGUUCGAGAUUGGAUUGGAAGUGGAGGUUGGAGCUCAAGGGGAGGAAGAGCAGGAGACACGCGACGACGAGAAGAGGGAUGACUGUGUGAAACCGCGGGUCCGCCUAGCUGGGCGCAAAAUGAGGAAGCAUGGGGAAACAGGGACGCCCACGUCCAAUCAACCGCCACGCGGCGCCCAAGGCCGCAGGCUGUUGGGGGCCCGUGGUGCUUCGCCCUUGCCCCUUCGCUUCUCUGCUAAGCCAAGUCCGAGCGCGCCUUGGGCCCGGGGGCUACUGUCGGCGUUCUGGGAACGGGGGUACCCAGACUUGCCUGCCUGUGGCCUGCGGCAUGGCUCAAGGAGUGGCCCAGUACGGCCCAUCUUCAUCAGCACAUGCCCAAGACCCUCGCGAGGGGCCAAGCAUCAUGGGGCGGACGACAGGAAGCUUCCUCAGGCACAACCUCGUCAAGCUGGUUCGCGAGUAGGUGGAGAGAUCAAGGCAGGUACCUCACGAGGUGCCCGUGACGCAAGCCGUGAUGACCAAAGCCAGGCGGGCGCCAGGAGGGCGCCGACCUACGCAGAGUCCUUGUUUCCUCUUUGGUGCAAAGGGAGCAAGCGCAUGCGAGAGUAUCAAGCAAAGGCAACCAUUUCGGUGCAAUAAGACCAAGACCAGCAGAACGGCAGGAUGGAGGUCAUCGUGGAGCCCAAGCCGGCGUCAUCGUCAGAGUCUUUGGCAGGCGAGGACCAACUUUAGCCAGGAUAAGUGUACUAGAUGUUCCCCUUAAAAAUGGCCAAUUGUUGGAGCCCUUCCCGCUCAAUAUUUGGGAAGAGGACCAAGGCCUCGCUCUAUAAAUAGGACCAGCCACUCUCAAGGCAAGGGGUCGACCAAUCGGAUCCAGGAAAAGUAGGACUCCACACCGAACUAGUAUAAACCUUGUGUCCCUUGUGUUGUUCUUCGUGUAGUUUAGAUCCUUGCGAGGCGACGAGAUGUAGGUAGGUAGGAGGUGCGAUAUCUGCGCGCACCCAAGAGUUCGAACCUUGAGGGAUUGCUGGAACCCGAAAUCCGACAGCGGGUUGCGCUUGGAUUUUUGGUUCGGGGCAUUUGUAAGGGUCCUGCAAGAUGGUAAGGUGGCCUGCGUCGAGUGAAUCUCCGGAGGAUAUCGCAUGAGAAGGCCAAACACUAACGACCCCAGCAGGUGACCUAUGUCGAAUUUUGGGAUCCGGCAACCCUUGAGAGAUUCGCACUCUGGGGUGCGUGUAGAGAUCUCAACCUGCCCAGCCUGCCUACUCGCGAUCCUCCCUAGCCUAGCGCGUAGAGCUCUCAGAUGGCACCUCAAGUGCAGCGUUGCGCCGGGUGCCCGCGAUGGCACCUCUUCCCUCGGUGGGGGCUACCGGCCCCGGAGCAGCCCCCAUGACGAAGUGAGGCGCGUCAUGAUCGUGCGCCCGCCUCGGCCGCACUUUUCUUCACUGGAGGUGCUUCUCGAGUUCGUGGUGUGGUUGGAGAACCCGGCUGGCACCUCGCUCCGGCUCCCUCGCUUCUUCUCUGGCGAGCUUCCUUCUUCAGGGCUUGCUGGCCUCUGGCUGCAGGCUGAUUGGUACUGCGGCAGAGCCUCGUGGGUCAGCAUUGAGGUUACCGCCUCUGGCAGCGUGGUGCUGGACCGUGGCUGGCAGACUUUCGCCUGCGCACGUGGCCUGGGCGGAAGGUGCACCCUCCACUUCAAGUACGAAGGCCUGGCGACCCUCUACGUGAGGGUGUUCAGGGGGGACAGCCGCCUCGUGGGGCACUGCCCGGAGGAUAGUAGUGACGACGACGGUGGCGACGGCAAACUUGGCCUUGGUGACGCGCGUUCCUCCUCUCAUGGCGGCAGCUCCUCCUCGGACGAGAGCUCAAGCAGUGGUGGCUACGACUGGCCUCCGCGUCGUCGUUCUCGUAUCGAGGACGCCGGUGGCUCGUCCCAUCACAGCGCUCCAGUGAAGCCGGAGAGGAGCCCAACCUGAAGCUGGGGGCCGGCGAACAUGGGCUCAAGGCCGGUGGCCCCAGAUCUCUUGUGGGAGAACUAGUGGAGCCCCGGGCUACCUUGAGGCGCUGCUUGGGGAUGCGGCGCUUGUGCCAAGCCUGCACGCCUUCGACCCCUCUUUGUUUAACUUUUCCUUUGUCCUUCAAAUCGAAAAAAAGAAGAAUGUACCCUGCGAGGGCGUGUAAUGAACUGCUAUUGUUAUGCCUUUUUAUGUUAAGGUUGUCGUCCUUGAUGCUGUGUAGUAGUGUUUGUAUUUUGAGCGGGCCAAGGUUGGAAGGCUUUGCUUGAUACGUGUAGUCGUCCUUCGCCUCGUGAGGACUUGACCUUAGGUAUUUGAUAGGGCCUCUAGGGCACACGCCCGGUGCCCUUUAGAGAUACGCCUUGUGCCCUCAGGAGCCGCGGCAGGUGUCGGUGUAAAAACCGGCGGAUAUCGGGUAGGGGGAUCCCGAACUAUGCAUGUAAGGCUAAUGGUAACAGGAGGCGGGGGACAGAAUGUUUACCCAGGUUCGGGCCUCUCCAUGGAGGUAAUACCCUACUUCCUGCUUGAUUGAUCUUGAUGAUAUGAGUAUUACAAGAGUAGAUCUACCACGGGAUCGUAGAGGCUAAACCCUAGAAGCUAGCCUAUGAUUAUGAUUGUUGUUGUCCUACGGACUAAACCCUUCAGUUUAUAUAGACACCAGAGGGGGCUAGGGUUACAUAGAGUCGGUUACAGAGAAGGAAAUCUACAUAUUCGAAUUGCCAAGCUUGCCUUCCACGCAAAGGAGAGUCCCACCCAGACACGGGACGAAGUCUUCAAUCUUGUAUCUUGAUAGUCCAACAGUCUGGCAUAAGCAUAUAGUCCGGCUGUCCGAGGACCCCCUAAUCCAGGACUCCCUCAGUAGCCUCUGGACCAGGCUUCAAUGACAAUGAGUCCGGCGUGCAGAUUGUCUUCGGCAUUGUAAGGCGGGUUCCUUCUCCGAAUACUCCAAAGAAGAUUUUGAACACAAGGAUCGUGUCCGGCUCUGCAAAACAAAUUCCACAUACCACCGUAGAGAGCACAAUAUUCCACAAGUCUAAUGUACUGACAACUUUUCAUAGCAUGACAUCACACCGCGGCCUGGUCAUUAUUCGAGUCGUUUUUCUCAACCUGCUACUGCACAUCUUGCGAGGCAGUUUUACUGGCACAUCUUGUCGAAGCAUAGAUCGUGUCCCCUUAUCAUGGGAUUCUCAUCAAUACGGGUGUGGGUAACCCAACCGUGCCAUUAAUCACGGCGCUUGGGGGAUAAGCGAGUUUCCAGGGAAAGUGGGGAGGCGCAGGAUCCCUGCUGCCUUUAUAAGGAGAUAAGGACUCCCCCUUUUCAACCACGCCUUCUUCUUCCUCUGCUCAUCCAUUCUCUCUCGCUCAAGCACCAGUGCCCAAGCAUUCACCUUCUCCGCCCACAAAGGCCCUCCGAGAAUGUCCGGAUUGGGAGCAGGAGGCAAGUGGAUGGCCUCUACCGUCCGGGAGAAGGACAUCAAGAAACUUCGGGAGGCCGGGUGUCUGGCGAAGAAGAUCAGCCAUCGCCUCCCAAUGGCGGUACAGAUCGUCCCUACUCUGGAACCCCACGAGAGGGUCGUAUUCCUUCUUCAUUUUGUCCGCGGGCUAGGGUUUCCCCUCCACCCAUUCGUUCGCGGCAUUAUGUAUUACUAUGGGAUCGAUUUUCAUGAUCUAUCCCCCAAUUCCUUCCUCAACAUCUCCACAUUCAUCGUCGUGUGCGAGGCCUUUCUCCGCAUCCCUCCACACUUCGGCUUAUGGCUGAAGAUUUUCAAUGUGAAGCCCAAGGUGGUGAGUGGCGAGCAUGCUGAGUGCGGAGGAGCCAUGGUGAGCAAGAUGCCCAACAUCGCAUGGCCAUCAGGUACCUUCAAUGAUUCCGUCAAGGGAUGGCAACAACAAUGGUUCUAUGUCACUGAGCCACGCGGCACCAAAUGGGCUGCAGCUCCCGAAUUCCGAUCCGGAGCUCCACAGUGACUUACGUACUAGCCCAAGAAGGGCCUGAACUGGUCUUUGCCCGACGAGUUGUCGAUGCUCCAGACGCACAUCAAGGGCAUGGAAGACAAGAAUAUCAAACUUGUCAAUGUUGUCCAGAUGAUGUUAGUUCGCCGAGUUCUCCCUUGCCAACACAUGGCUUGUCAUUUAUGGGAGUACGACCUGGCUAAGCACCGGACCGUACUAGGGUUCUUGGACUCAUCGCACGAAGACAUCUGGAAAGUGCUUUUUAUGUCCGGCAAAUCAUGGCUGGACUCCGCCGAGGACCAUGGGUAUCAACUGUCCCGACCUAUGAGUUUUGUAAGUCUUCGUAUGUUGGCAAGUCACAUGCUUUAUUUGUAUGAUCCAAAGGAAAUGCUUAAUGUAUUUUUCCACAACUCUCCUAGGGCUGGACGAAGAAGGCAGAGUGGAUCUACUACCCAGCCCUGCUGCCAGAAGAACCAGCCGGCCCACUUCUGACGAAGAUGCUGGUCCCGGCGCCUUACAAGGCGCCGAAGAAGAAAACCGAGAAAGAGGUUAAAGAGACCAGGGGCGUGCAUCGUCGCUGAGGAACUUCGGACACGGUAUCUGAAGACUUCGAGGCCCACUCUUCCUCCAAGGUGGACGAGGAAGAGGAGGAAAGCCAAUCCCCCUCAGCGAGGGGAGGAAAGAAAAGGACGGCCUCCACAAACUUGGAGGCCGAGUCACCUAAGAAGGGAAAAACUCCCCUUCCAGAGGAAUCCGCCACCGCUACCGACAGCAGCCCAGAGUGGGAUCCCAGGGUCCAUCCCCUGGUGAAAUCGUGAGUAUAUAAAAUCUGGACAUGUUUGAGCGUCCAAACUCACUAUUGUAUGACGUUUAAUCAUUAAGCCACACUUUUUUGCAGUCCGGCAAGGUCCCGCGUAGAACAAUCCUCAUCGGAGGAUUUACUGGGCUCGGACUCUAUGGACAGCGGGACACCCCCGACGGCCCCCUCCCCAAAACACGGGAAUGACACCGAGGCAUCGUCCCAUCGGGACCUAGGCCAAGGAGGGGGUCAAAAGACCGUCAAGGCGGUGCCAGGGGGUCAAACUUUGAUGGCCGGACAUGCGGGAGACAAAGCUCCCAUGGACACCGACAGCGGGGGCUAUCUUGAAUUCGGCCCCUAGCCGGACACAAUUCCGGAGACCAAUACGGCUCCGGAAUCAGGCAGAUAGACUCCCUCGACAGGAGUGGGUGUGCUUGUUCCACCAGCAACCUCUGCCCAACUAGAGGUGUCGGAUACCUUAUCCGCGGCGCUGAAGAGCGCCUCCAUCGUUGAAGAACACCGUGCCCUUACGUGUGCGGUGAUUGAGAAGAUUCAAUCCGCUGAGAGUGGGGUGAACGAAGCCUGCAUCAGCCUUAUAACGGGCUUCGAGGUAUGUUGUGAGGUUUCAGAGAGUGUUAUAGUAUAGGUAGUAGCCCCUGAUACGUUGUUUGGUGUUCGAAAGAAAGAACCGGACAGAGGAUCAAAUACAUGUUCGCAGGAGACUCACCGUAUGGCACCUCUCCCUCUUUUUUUAUAAGCAGGCGUGUGUAGCGACUGCCACCUCUCAAACUACAGAAGUCUCCAGACUGAAGCAGAAUCUGGAGCGUGCCGAAGAAGAACUUGGCCAAUUGAAAAAGCAGCUCGAGGAUAACCAAGGUAUGGAAAAAACCUUGUUCGCAUUCAGCGUGAAUGAAUAAUUGAUUAUGAUGAAGAUAUUUUCAUGAUGUGCUCUAGGGGCGACAGUCGAAGUCGAGGCUCUUAAGAAGGCUGUGGUCGAGGCCGAGAAGAAGGUAGCCAUAGAGCAGGCUCUUCAUGAAAAGCACGAGGCCAGGGUUAUUGAUGCUGAGCAAGAGCUCGAGGAGGCCGUGAAGAAAUGCAAGACCUUGGAGUAGAGUUUAACGAAGAAAGAAUCCGAACUCACCAAGGCUCGGCAAGCUGCACGCGAUGCCCGGGAGGAAACCCAAGGUGCCCUGUAGGAAAUCUAGGAGGCAAGGAAAAUCGCGGCGGGUAAGGCUUUUUCUAUGCAAAGCAAAAUAUUUGAAGGGAGAAAAUCAUGUUACUAAUUUGAAUUCGGAUUUCUCCAGGGGUAUUUGUGGAACUGCCGUGCAACAUAUCUGAUGUCGCACAAUUCUGCCGAGCCGAAGAAAGGAGCACUACCGAGAAGCUCUUAUGGUCGCAGUAUCUGGCGCCAAAAUAUCCAAUGCCCUUUGCCGAUCAACUGACGCAACUGAUCGAAUUGCAUUAGGCGGCCGAACUAGCCAUGAAGGAGUUAAUUAUCCAGCAAUGGCCUGCCGAGCCGAUUCCCAGCAGCUACUUCAGGCUCGUCAAGCGGCUGGUGAGUGCCUGCCCUCAACUUGAAGUCAUCAAGCGGUCGGUCUGUAUGGAAGGUGCGUGAAUGGCCUUCGCCCGUGCAAAGGUGAAGUGGGAGAAGAUGGAUGCUGAAAAGCUGAUGACCGAGGGACCGCCUGAGGGGAAGGAGCACCACAAGCCCGAGUUAUAUUAUGAUAGUGUCCUGAAAGGAUCUCGCCUUGUAGCGGAGCAAUGUGCCAAGGACAUUAUAUUCCCAUGAAUACAUUCAUGUUGUCCCAUGUAAUGUUUGAACAAGGUCAUUUAAAUGAUAUAAUGCCUGUUAUUUUGGAAAUUUUACCUCCUAUGCGGCCGUUUUAUAUAUUAACCCUGAGAGUUAGCCAGUCGUCGGCUUCUGCACCCACGUAGGAAAUACAGGGGUGUUUGGGAUGAACCUGAGCACUCUUUACCCCAGUUUUGGGUCCUUGAAGGAGGUGUUCAGCGCAACGAACUAGGCAAUCAGAGUAUAAGGCUUUAUCACCCUCACUUAGCCAUAGGAGUUUUACAAAAGAAAGGUAGGCGCAGCCCCUGGUGUUUGGAAGACCGCACUAGGGGCUCUAUAAGUAGCUGAUCGGAAGAGAAAGCCGAUCCAUCGCACGCUGCAUUAGUUAUCACAUAGUGCGGUCCUUAAAGAUUUUGUAACCUCUCGAACAGCUAACCCUCUCUCGCCGUAUCAUGACAGUCAGUUUUCGGCUUUCUCUACUAAGGCGCUCGUCCGGAAGAACCGGGACACAAUCGCAGUAGUUCUCCCUUUACUACCCUAGCCGAUAUAGCGGAACGUAGGGUGGCAAGCACAGGAGCCGGGAAACCCAACUAUUGACCCAAGACAUGAUUCGGAGCCGAUGCAUAUAAUGCUAUAAGUUCGGGGUGCCGAACGAUCGUGAAGGUGUUCGGGCUUUAUUGCCAUAUUAUGGGUACAACUAGGCCCCUGGCAUAUUAAGGCAUAUCGUAGUGUACGGAUGCCAUUUGACAAAGAGUGUCAAUAAGAAACGACAACAAAUGAGCAUCAUAUAAAGCCACAUAUUGUAAUUGAAUAAUACGUCGUUGCGUGCAAGUGCAGGUAAUGUGAUAAAAAGAAAUAUGACUUUGGAACCUGUUGAGACCAGGCGGGGGAGGGUGUGUGCGGAUACGGGUUGUAAUCGGAUGGUCAUCGAGGGGAAUAUCUAAGGAUUCCCUAACACGUUCGAGUUGUUUCCCUUCUUGGUAUAUUCAUUCGUUCAUGGGUCUAGCCACCAUGCCGCCAGUCGUGGCCUACUCAAAAGUGGACCUGCAAAGAAAAUGCAAAAAUGUUUGUUUGCCACGGAGCGAUUAAGCCGCGUUGCGUGGCCUAUACUAGCUUUGCUUGUUGGAGAUAUGCCCUAGAGGCAAUCAUGUAUGAUGAUAUUUCCUAUGUGUUUAUGAAUAAAGAUAGUCCUUGGACAUUAUCAAUGAUGUGUAUCAGCAAGUAUGUGACUUGUUUGUGGGACUAUGCAUUGUAUGAUGACUGUCCUAAAAGGUCCCUAGUCGAAAGGGCUGUGUGGAUGCACAGCCGACUAGACUAGCAUAUGACACGAUCGAUGGCUUGGUCUCACUAGCCAUGGAGCAUUGGAUGCUAAGCGGAUAAUAUGGACUUGGAAAGGUUUGGUCGGAUUCGACGUAGUUGGAUCCGAGUCGAGAUAAGGUCUGAGUCGGACAGACCCAACUAUGAGACGCAACGAUAUGUCAUCUGUGAGUCUCUAGUACAACAUACGUUCUAUGUCCUAAGACCUGAGAUGACACAUGUACUCGGGAUGGUGACAGACUUGCUUUGGGCCGACCAAACGCUACUCCGUGACUGGGUAGUUACAAAGGUAGGUUUCGGGUUUGUCCAGUCCCAUGCUGUGAGACAUGGUCGAGCAAGAUGGGAAUUUCCCCUCCGAUCAGGAGAGAUAUACUCUGGGCCCCUCGUGCUAUCCGACCAGGAGAAGCAUGGCCAUGUGACAAGGAUUAUGAGAUAAUCCGAGUAGUGGUCGGGAUCACUGGAAUGAGAAGAGGUCGGGCUAGCACAAGGAUGACAGUCUCGCCUUGAGCCCGACAACAUAUAUCGUGCGGCAAAGAGAACAGAAGUGUGACACGUUGUACAGGUUUGCCUAACCAGCUUCAUAGUCUGCUUGGUCGUUGGCACGCCUUGCUAGAGGCCACUACCAACCGUGCAGGUCAGAGAUGAUCCAAACUGUGACCAAGCCGACUUGAACCUAAGGGGUCGCGCGCUUAAGGGAAGGAACCUACGAGGUCGGUUCGUAGGACACUAGUCGGAUGUGAUCCGAAAUGGACUAGGAACGUGACCGAGUAGACUUUGGGCCUUAGGGUCCGUGCGAGGCCCAAGCGUUGAGCCUGCGACGGACGCCUAUAUAAAGUGGAGGUGCGGCACACUCAUGCAGUUGAUCGCUUCGGCGUUGCGACUAGGGUUUGCAUGUGUUGUGAAUAGCCACCUCUACUCGCCACCGAAUGUGUGAUCAGACCUAGCAGUCGGCCACACGAUGUUCUACCUGCACGCAUGGAUACCGUUAGAGGAGGUGCACUUGCGCCGCUCCGACGAACUUGUACAUGGGAUCGGACGACCGGCUGUUCGAGGGAGAUCGGACGAGAAGGAGACGAUCCAUGCGGACGCUCUGCCUCAACUCUACUUCCAUUGCACGGCACUACGCGUCUAGUGGUAACGAACUGUGAUCCAUCUCCCGUAGCAUGUUCUUGGUUGUUCUACGCAAAGGAAUUUUUAAUUUGCAGUCGACGCACCCUACCGUAGACCCCGACAUUGCCUCCGUCUACUGCCAGAGUGUUAGAUUGAGCUCUUGACGAGCCGGGCUAUCCUGGCGCGAAGUAGUUCGGACUCCUUUGAUGGUGUCCGGAAGCUUGGCUGUCGACUCAAGGUUCGAUCGAGAGAUGCCACUCUAUGUUUCUACUGUUAAGGCGGCAGUGUACUCUUUGGCAUGGAGGGAGCAUUCGGCCUUGCCAUUAACUAUUAUGACGCCACGCGGACCGGGCAUCUUAAGCUUAAGGUAGGCAUAAUGUGGCACUGCAUUGAAUCAAGCAAACGCGGUUCGUCCGAGCAGUGCAUGAUAGUUGCUACGAAAAUGGACAAUGUCAAAGAUUAACUCUUCGUUGCGGUAGUUAUCCGGUGGUCCGAAGACUACCUCCAGAGUGAUGGAGCCUGUACAACAGGCCUCCACACCUCGUAUAACACCUUUAAAGGUGGUUUUAGUGGGUUUGAUCAUUGAAGGAUCAAUACCCAUCUUGCGCAUUGUGUCCUGAUACAGCAGGUUCAGACUGCUGCCUGCAUCCAUAAGGACUCAUGUGAGGUGGAAUCCGUCAAUUAUUGGGUCAAGGACUAGUGCGGCUGAAUUGCCUUGACUGGUAUUGGCCGGACGAUCCCUACGGUCAAAGGUGACCGGAGCGGACGACCAUGGGUUAUAUUUUGGGGCGACUGGCUCCGUUGCAUCAACAUCCCUAAGUGUGCACAUCCGCUCCCGCUUGGGAAUAUGGGUGGCUUUUAUCAUGUUCACCAUUUUGAUUUGCGGGGGAAACUUCUUUUGCCCUCUUGUGUUCGGUGGUCGGGGCUCCUCGUUGUCAUCAUCGCUUUGCGACCCCUUCUCCUUGUUUUUGGCACCUGAACUACCGGUUGUUUGAAGACCCAGCAUUCUCUGUUGGUAUGGUUGGCUGGUGUUCCUGGGGUGCCAUGAAUUUGGCAUGGACGGUUGAGUAUAUGGUCCAAACUGGACGUGCCCGGACUAUUUCUUUUGAAUUGUUUCUUCCUUUGACCGGUAGUGGAGCCGCUGAAUCCGGCAUUGACGGUCAUGUCUUCGGCGUUGUCUCCAUUAUUAUGAUGCUUGUAUUUGCUACGUCUGGGCUUGCCGUUGUUAUCUCUUGGUUCAGAAGUCCCAAGUUUGCUUGAGAUGAUGUUGCUACGAGCUAGCCAGCUGUCCUCGCCCGCACAAAAGCAGGUCAUGAGUGUCGUAAGGGUUGCCAUGAAUUUUGGCUUCUCUUGGCCGAGGUGUCGGGCAAGCCACUCAUCACGGAUGUUGUGCAUAAAGGCCUCGGCUUCGGCAUCCAGACAAUCGACAAUUUGGUUCUUUUUAGUUAAGAACCGAGUCCAGAAUUUCCUCGCUGACUCUCUGGGCUGUUGGGUUCUGUGACUUAAGUCAUCAGCGUCCGGCUAGCGGGACCGCCGUGUGCACAGUGCCAUGUAUUUCGUACCCGACACACAAACCGGUAGAAUGCGAUUCUAUGCAUAACUUUGUUUUGCAGGUUUGAUGUGAAUAGUAUGGCUCAUGUGUAUGUGAUGCAUGUGUGUAAUUUAUACAUGGCCUCCGUGUCAUGUUUGUCAGCCGGCAGGAGCCAAAGUGAUGUCAUUAUAUUGUAUAACGACCUGCGUGUUGACUUGUGACUCUAUGUAAAUUCAUUACUAGUUGUAGUAUUUGGAUAAUAGAGAUCAGGUUGGUGGCUUGGCUUCCCGACGUGACAAACAAGAUGGAGUUCCUAGAUGGUCAUCGAAGUCGGAGCCGACCUGGAAGAACGUCCAUGAAGGAGCCAUACUAUUUCACAAUAUGUGUUUAUUUGUGAUUGUUAUGCUUCUUUGUUUCUAUGCAUGUUAGAAUGGUAGAAAGAUCCCUCAUGAAUAUCAAGUAAAUUGCCAUUCCCGAUGUUGCACCUUCGCACGUCAAGUACGUCUAGUAGUGGGCUCAUAAAAUUGGGGUGCUGCUAGGUGUCCUUGAACUGAAGGGUUCGUGUCGGACAUGGACAUGCACUGCAUCAGGUUAACUUGACAAGGCUAUCAAAACAGUUUUGGGCCUUGUGGAAAAGAAGGUUAGGAGACGGGGUAUAAGGUACCUUCCCGACCGAUAGGAGUCGUAUAGAGAUACGAUAAGCUAGGAGUUGCUUACCGGAUAGGUAUGUUGGCUAGCAGUGAUGCUAAAGCUCACUAGUCGCAUGCGCUAGUUGGAUCCUGAAUCACUAAGAGUUUGCAGAGGGAUGUUGACUUCAAUGGGAGUAUUUCUAUUUAGGCGAAUUACUCUACAUAAACACAUUGCUUAGUGAUUGCAUGUUUUCUGCUGUAGAAUAAUGGCACCACCUGCUCAACCCAACUUUGCAUUGAAAUCAAUUCUGGAAAAGGAUAAACUGAAUGGGACAAACUUUACCACCUGGUAUAGAAAUCUGAGAAUUGUUCUCAAGCAUGAUAAAAAGGAACAUGUUCUAGAGGAUCCACUUCCAGAGGAACCUGCCGAUAAUGCUAAUGCCACAACUAAGAAUGCCUACUAGAAACUCGUUGAUGAAUCAACGGAGAUCAGAUGUCUGAAGCUGGCUUGUAUGGAGCCCGAUUUGCAACAGCAUUUUGAAAAUGUUGAGGCUUACUAUAUGAUCGAGAGUCUCAAGAGCAUGUUUCAGACACAGGCUAGGACCGAAAGGUUCAACGUCUGGCGAUCCUUGAUGGAUUGCAAGCUGAAGGAAGGUGAUCCACUGAGCCCACAUGUGAUGAAGAUGAUCGGAGAUGUGCAAGCUUUGGAUCGUUUGGGCUUCCCGCUCUUGGAUGAGCUAGCUACUGAUGUUGUUCUGGGUUCUCUUCCGCCCAGCUAUGUGACGUUCAUCUCGAACUAUCACAUGCAUGGCAUGGAUAAGAAGCUCACUGAAUUGCAUGGGAUGCUCAAAGUGGCAGAGCGGGAUAUUAAGAAAGGCACGCAUCAAGUGUUGAUGGUGCAGAAAUCAGCUAAGUUCAAGAAGAGUUGGUCCAAGAAAAAGGCUAAGGCAAAGGGCACGGAGACGGUAACCUCCGCCGCUGCGCCAAAGUCUGGACCGGACUCGAAGACCGUUUGCUUUCACUGCAAGGAGACCGGUCACUAGAAGAGGAACUGUAGCAAGUGGCUUGCAGAGCAUGGCAAGAAGGCCGGGAAUACUGCUUCAGGCAAAGGUACACUUGUUGCAUAUGUUAUAGACAUUUACCUUGCUGACAUACCUAGUAGAUCACGGGUAUUUGAUACCGGAUCGGUUGUUCAUAUUUGCAACUCGAUGCAGGGGAUGGUAAGAACUAGGCGUGUGGCACAAGGGGACAUUGACAUCAGGGUCGGCAACAAAGCAAGAGUUGCUGCAUUGGAGGUCGGAACGAUGCAGCUCCAGCUUCCUUCUGGAUUCAUUAUGGAAUUGAAGAAUUGUUAUUACAUUCCUGCACUUAGUCGGAACAUUAUUUCUGCCUCAUGUUUGAUGAGUCAAGGUUAUGAAUUCAAUUUAAAGGACAGUGGUUGUUCGAUAUUUUUCAAUGGUAUGUUCCACGGCUAUGCACCCAUUAUUGAUGGGCUAUUUAUAUUGAAUCUAGAACAGGAACCGGUCUAUAAUGUGAAUGUCAAGAGGCAUAAGCCUAAUGAGAUAAAUCAGACAUACUUCUGGCAUUGCCGGCUUGGACACAUUAAUUUAAAACACAUGAAGAAGCUCCAUGAUGAUGGGAUCCUAACUUCGUCCGACUUCGGGUCGUCCGAGACAUGUGAAUCAUGCUUGCUCGGCAAGAUGACUAAGUCUCCUUUCACAAAGAGUUGCGAGAGGGCGUCCGAGCUGUUGGAGCUUAUACACAGUGAUGUGUGUGGUCCAAUGAGCACAACUGCCAGAGGUGGCUAUCAGUACUUUGUGACUUUUACCGACGACUUGAGUAGAUAUGGAUAUAUCUAUUUGAUGAGGCACAAGUCGGAAACUUUUGAAAAGUUCAAAGAGUUUCAGAACGAGGUUGAGAAUCAGCUCGGCAAGACUAUAAAGCUUCUGCGAUCUGAUCGUGGAGGUGAGUACAUGAGUCAGGAGUUUGAUGAUCAUCUAAAAGGUCGAGGUAUAGUACCUCAGCUCACACCUCCGGGUACGCCACAGAGAAAUGGCGUGUCAGAAUGGAGGAAUAGGACCUUGUUGGACAUGGUCCGGUCUAUGAUGAGCAAUCGUAUUUACCCUUGUCAUUUUGGGGAUACGCUCUAGAAACUGCAGCUUUCACACUUAAGAGGGUACCAUCAAAAUCCGUAGACAAGACACCACAUGAGAUGUGGACCGGGAAGAGUCCCAAUUUGUCUUUUCUAAAGAUUUGGGGUUGUGAAGCAUUUGUCAAGCGACUUAUGUCAGACAAGCUUACACCUAAAUCAGAUAAAUGCAUAUUCGUGGGAUAUCCGAGGGAAACCUUGGGAUAUAGCUUCUACAACCAGGAAGAGAACAAAGUGUUUGUUGCUCGGAACGGGGUUUUCCUUGAGAAAGAGUUUCUCACUCGGGAGGCCAGUGGGAGGACGGUCCGACUCAAAGAAAUUCGAGGACCACUCGGGGAUGGCUCGGCUGGUGAUGAGAUCAUACCGAAGUCAGUCAGGGAACCCGUAGUGGAAGCGGCACCGGAACCACGGAGGUCGGAAAGACUGCACAGAGUGCGCGACGUAUUGUUGCUAGAAAGCGAUGAGCCGGCCACAUAUGCGGAAGCGAUGGUGAGCCCAGAUUCCGAGCCAUGGCUGGAGGCCAGGAGAUCCGAGUUAAAGUCCAUGGAUGAGAAUCAAGUCUGGGACUUGGUUGAUCCGCCGCCUGGCGUAACAGCCAUUGGUUGCCAUGGGUCUUUAAGAAGAAAACCGAUGUGGAUGGAAAUGUUCAGAUCCACAAAGCUCGGCUUGUCGCUAAAGGUUAUGGACAAGUUCAAGGAAUUGACUACGACGAGACUUACUCACCGGUAGCAAUGCUGAAAUCGGUGAGGAUCAUACUUGCUAUAGCUGCAUACUUCGAUUACGAGAUAUUGUAGAUGGAUGUCAAAACGGCUUUCCUUCACGGAAAUUUAACCAAGGACGUGUAUAUGAUACAACCCGAGGGUUUUGUCGAUCCGACUAGCACUAGUAAGGUAUGCAAGCUCAAGAGAUCCAUUUAUGGAUUGAAGCAAGCAUCUCGGAGUUGGAACAUUCGUUUUGAUGAGGUCGUCACUGGCCUCCGUUUCAUCAAAAGCGAAGAGGACUCUUGUGUAUACAAGAAGUUAAGUGGUAGCUCGAUAGUGUUUUUGAUCUUGUAUGUGGAUGACAUAUUGUUGAUCGGGAACAAUGUUUCGAUGCUAAACUUGGUCAAGGUAUCAUUUAAUGGCAAGUUUUCAAUGAAGGACCUUGGUGAGGCAGUCUAUAUUUUAGGCAUUAAGAUCUAUAGAGAUAGAACGAGGAGGCUGCUCGGCUUAAGCCAGAGCACGUACAUAGAUAAAGUGUUGAAGCGGUUCAACAUGAGUGAGGUGAAGAAAGGGUUCUUACCACUCUCACAUGGUAUAAGGCUAAGCGAGACUUGGAGUCCUUCGAUAUCUGAUGAGCGAAGCAGGAUGAGUAGGAUUCCGUAUGCCUCGGCAAUCGGAUCCAUCAUGUAUGCCAUGAUAUGUACAAGGCCUGAUGUUGCUUUUGCAAUAAGCCUAACAAGUAGAUACCAAGCCAACCAAGGUGAGAGUCACUUGGCAGCGGUGAAGACUAUUUUGAAGUACCUGAAAAGGACUAAAGAGAUGUUCCUAGUUUAUGGGGGUGAGGAAGAGCUAGUCGUAAGGGGUUACAUCGAUGCUUGUUUCCAAACCGACAGAGAUGAUUGUCGAUCACAGUCCGGUUUCGUGUACGUCCUGAAUGGAGGAGUAGUGCACUGGAUGAGUUCCAAGCAGGAUACGGUGGCCGAUUCUACCACAGAAGCCGAAUACAUUGGGGCUUAUGAAGCUGCAAAGUAAGGUGUUUGGAUCCGGCAUUUUCUGGAUGAUCUUGGUAUUCUCCCAGCCUCGGUGAAACCGUUGGACCUUUAUUGUGAUAAUUCUGGUGCCAUCGCACAAGCCAGGAGCCGAGGAAUCACCACAAGGUCAGACACAUAAAUCGGAAAUAUCACCUGAUACGAAAGAUCAUAAAGAAUGGUGAUGUAGAUUUAUGGAAGAUUCACACAGAUGCAAAUGUUGCAGAUCCGUUGACUAAGCCGCUUCCACAACCCAAGCAUGAAGGGCACGUUAGAGCUAUGGGCAUUCGAUGUCUAUUUGAUUGACUCUAGUGCAAGUGGGAGACUGUUGGAUAUAUGCCCUAGAGGCAAUCAUGUAUGAUGAUAUUUCCUAUGUGUUUAUGAAUAAAGAUAUUCCUUGGAAAUUAUCAAUUAUGUGUAUCAGCAAGUAUGUGACUUGUUUGUGGGACUAUGCAUUAUAUGAUGAUUGUCCUAAAAGGUCCCUAGUCGAAAGGGCUGUGUGGACGCGCAGCUGACUAGACUAGCAUAUGACACGGUCGAUGGCUUGGUCUCACUAGCCAUGGAGCAUUGGAUGCUAACCGGAUAAUAUGGACUUGGAAAGGUCUGGUCGGAUUCGACGUAGUCGGAUCCGAGUCAAGAUAAGAUCUGAGUCCGAUAGACCCAACUAUAAGACGCUGCGAUAUGUCAUCUGUGAGUCUCUAGUACAACAUAUGUUCUAUGUCCUAAGACCUGAGCUGACGCGUGUACUCGGGAUGGUGACAGACUUGCUUUGGGCCGACCAAACACUACUCCGUGACUAGGUAGUUACAAAGGUAGGUUUCGGGUUUGUCCAGUCCCAUGCUGCAAGACAUGGUCGAGCUAGAUGGGAUUUGCCCCUUCGAUCAGGAGAGAUAUACUCUGGGCCCCUCAUGUGAUCCGACCAGGAGAAGCAUGGCCAUGCGACAAGGAUUAUGAGAUAAUCCGGGUAGUAGUCGGGAUCACUGGAACGAGAAAGAGGUCGGGCUAGCACAAGAAUGACAGUCUCACCUUGAGCCCGACAACAUAUAUCGUGCGGCAAAGGGAACAGAAGUGUGACAUGUUGUACAGGUUCGCCUAACCAGCUUCAUAGUCCGCUUGGUGGUUGGCACGCCUUGCUAGAGGCCGCUACCAACCGUGCAGAUCGGAGAUGAUCCGAACUGUGAUCAAGCCGACUAGAACCUAAGGGGUCGCGCGCUUAAGGGAAGGAACCUACGAGGUCGGUUCGUAGGACACUAGUCGGAUGUGAACCGAACUGGACUAGGAACGUGACUGAGUAGACUUUGAGCUUUAGGGUCCGUGCGAGGCCCAAGUGUUGAGCUUGCGACGGACGCCUAUAUAAAGUGGAGGUGCGGCACACUCGUGCGGUUGAUUGCUUUGGCGUUGCGACUAGGGUUUGCAUGUGUUGUGAAUAGCCACCUCUACUCGCGACCGAUUGUGUGAUCGGACCUAGCAGUCCGCCUCACGGUGUUCCUCCUGCAUGCACGGAUACCGUUAGAGGCGGUGCACUUGCGCUGCUCCGGCAAACUUGUACGUGGGAUCGGACGACCGCUGUUCGAGGAAGAUCGUACGAGGAGGAGACGAUCCACGUGGACGCGCUGCCUCAACUCUACUUCCGCUGCACGACACUGCGCGUCUAGUGGUAACAAACUGUGAUCCAUCUCCCGUAGCAUGUUCUUGGUUGUUCUGCGCGUAGGAAUUUUUAAUUUGCAGUCAAAGCACCCUACCAUAGACCCCAACAUUGCCUCCGUCUACUGUCGGAGUGUUAGAUUGAGCUCUUGACGAGCUGGGCUAUCCUAAUGCGAAGUAGUUUGGACUCCUUUGAUGGUGUCCUGAAGCUUGGCUGUCGACUCAAGGAUCGAUCGAGAGAUGCCACUCUGUGUUUCUACUGUUAAGGCGGUAGUGUACUCUUCGGCAUGGAGGGAGCGUUUGGCCUUGCCAUUAACUGUUAUGACGCCACGCGGACUGGGCAUCUUAAGCUUAAGGUAGGCAUAAUGUGGCACCACGUUGAAUCGAGCAAACGCAGUUCGUCCGAGCAGUGCAUGAUAGUUGCUACGAUAAUGGACGAUGUCAAAGAUUAAAUCUUCGUUGCGGUAGUUAUCCGGUGGUGCGAAGACUACCUCCAGAGUGAUGGAGCCUGUACAACGGGCCUCCACACCUGGUAUAACACCUUUAAAGGUGGUUUUAGUGGGUUUGAUCAUUGAAGGAUCGAUACCCAUCUUGCGCACUGUGUCCUGAUAUAGCAGGUUCAGACUGUUGCCUCCGUCCAUAAGGACUCGUGUGAGGUGGAAUCCGUCAAUUAUUGGGUCAAGGACUCGUGCGGCUGAAUUGCCUUGACUAGUAUUGGGCGGACAAUCUGUACAGUCAAAGGUGACCGGAUUGGACGACCAUGGGUUAUAUUUUGGGGCGACUGGCUCCGUUGCGUCGACAUCCCUAAGUGUGCACAUCCGCUCCCGCUUUGGAAUAUGGGUGGCGUUUAUCAUGUUCACCAUUUUGAUUUGCGGGGGAAACUUCUUUUUCCCUCUUGUGUUUGGUGGCCGGGGCUCCUCGUCGUCGUCAUCGCUUUGUGACCCCUUCUCCUUGAUUUUGGCCCCUGAACUACCGGCUUGUUUGAAGACCUAGCAUUCUCUAUUGGUAUGAUUGGCUGGUGUUCCUGGGGUGCCAUGAAUUUGGCAUGGACGAUCGAGUAUAUGGUCCAAACUGGACGUGCCCGGACUGUUUCUUUUGAAUUGUUUCUUCCUUCGACCGGUAGUAGAGUCGCUGAAUCCGACAUUGACGGUCGUGUCUUCGGCAUUGUGGCCAUUAUUAGGACGCUUGUGUUUGCUGCGUCUGGGCUUCCCGUUGUUAUCUCUUGGUUCAGAAGUCCCAAGUUUGCUUCAAACGAUGUUGCUACGAGCUAGUCAGUUGUUCUCGCCUGCACAAAAGCGGGUCAUGAGUGUCGUAAGGGCUGCCAUGGAUUUCGGCUUCUCUUGGCCGAGGUGUUGGGCAAGCCACUCAUCACGGAUGUUGUGCAUAAAGGCCACUAGGGCUUCGGCAUCCGGACAGUCAACAAUUUGGUUCUUUUUAGUUAAGAACGGAGUCCAGAAUUUCCUGGUUGACUCUCCGGGCUGUUGGGUUAUGUGACUUAAGUCAUCAGCGUCCGGUGGUUGCACAUAAGUGCCCUGGAAGUUGUCAAGGAAUGCGUCUUCCAGGUUUUCCCAACUGCCAAUGGAGUUUGCCGGCAGACUAUUCAGCCAAUGCCAAGCCGGUCCCUUGAGCUUGAGUGGGAGGUACUUGAUGGCAUGUAGAUCAUCACCACGGACCAUGUGAAUGUGGAGAAGGAAAUCUUCAAUCCAUACCGCGGGGUCUGUUGUGCCAUCAUAUGGUUCGAUGUUUACGGGUUUAAACCCUUCUGGGAACUCAUGCUCCAUUACUUCGUCAGUGAAGCAUAGGGGAUGUGCGGCGCCUCUAUGCCGGCUACAUCACGACGCAGUUCAAAUGAGUAUGGUCGGUUGUAUUCGGCCUUGCCGGAUUUGUGUUUAGUAUAUCCGGCGUGACGGUCAUCAUCACGCGUUGGGGUGCCAACCUGUGAUCCAUAGAUCGAUCUUGACUGUCUUGCUUUGUUUUCCAACUCGCUUCGCAGGUCAUGCGUGUAGCCCCAGGCUUUCAUGUUUUUGUUUGUUUGGCGACGGGGUGCGGGCUGGUAUUUGGGCUAAUAUGCCGCUUUGUCUCGGCCACGGGGUGGCCGGUCAACCGCAUCCUGCGCUGGUAGUAUAGGCUCUAGUGCCUCGUCCUUGAAUUGAGGUAACAACCUGCGCCUUGGGUAAAUUUUAGUUGGGCGCUCGAGUUCGUAUUCCUCGGCUUCCAGGACCUCAGGUCAACUAUCAGUUAGCAGAUCUUGAUCAGCUUGAAGUUGCUGUUGUUUUUUCUUCAGGCUUUUCAUAGUCAACUAUAAGCCGGCGCUUGAAGCGCUCCUGCUCGACGAGAUCCUCAGGCAUGAUAAAUUAUUUGUCAUCGAGGCUCACCUCAUCUUCGGAGAGAUCCAUUACCUAUUCAUCAGGGCUAGCUUGCCCAUCCUCCCGCCGGCUUGCUCGAAGCUUGGUUGGAGGGAUUGUUUUCAUCUUCGGCAUCAUCCGGAGUGUUAUUGUCUCCUGUGCCGGUAUCGCUAUUUUUGCUAUGGCGGGGUAUAGAGCGGUGCCGCUGACGCCGGCGCUUAGAUUGCUUCUCCAGGGGAUUAUCCUCUAUUGCCUCAUCGCCAUUGCUUUCUUUGGGGUGUGUCCACCAUAUGAUAAGGUGGCUGUCCAGCACCCUGUGGGCGGUGGUUCCUGUUCUUCUCUGGCAUCGUCGUCCAUACCGUCGAUGUCUUCGGAGUCGAAAUCAAGCAUGUCGGUUAAGUCGUCGAAAGCGGCUAUCAAGUGGGUGGUGGGUGGGUAACGAAUUUCUUCAUCGUCCGCUUCCCACUCAAGCCGGACAUAGUUCGACCAAGAGUCUCCUGGCAGGGAGAGAGAUUUUAAUGAGUGUAGCACAUCGCCCAAGGACGAGUGCUGAAAGAUAUCCGCGGAGCUAAACUCCAUGAUCGGUGCCCAGUUAGGUUUGGUGGGGACGGAUGCACGCGGUUUGGAGCCCCUGGCGGGAGACCAGUCCGAGGGUCCGGAGACAUAGAACUCCUUGGAAGCGAGAUCUGUGUUCGGCUCUAUUGUCGCUGAGUGUCCGCCCUCCAUGGCGGGGUCCAUCCACCCAUCCUCGGAUGUCACGAUCUGCUCUAGAUUUAAGGUCGGGGCAGCUGCAGGUGUAAUCUCCUGAACAACGUCCGAUGACAUAUCUAAGUCAUGUUCAUCGCGACUAUUGGGCGCACCUGUCAUGGGCUCGAAUCCGUCAAAGAUCAAGUCUCCGCGGAUGUCGGUAGUGUAGUUCAAGCUUCAAUACCUGACCUUAUGGCCAGGGGCGUAGCUAUUGAUCUGCUCCAGAUGGCCAAGCAAGUUGGCCUGCAGUGUGAAGCCACCGAAUACGAAGAUCUGUCCGGGGAGGAAAACCUCACCCUAGAUCACAUCGUUGUAGAUGAUUGAAGGAGCCAUCAAGCCUUAUGAUGACGACACAGUGGAACCCUCAAUGAAAGCACCUGUCGGUGUCAAAACCGGUGGAUCUCGGGUAGGGGGUCCCGUACUGUGCGUCUAAGGCUAAUGGUAACAGGAGGCGGGGGACACAACCCAGGUUUGGGCCCUCUCUAUGGAGGUAAUGCCCUACUUCCCGCUUGAUUGACCUUGAUGAUAUGAGUAUUACAAGAGUAGAUCUACCACGAGAUCGUAUAGGCUAAACCCUAGAAUCUAGCCUAUGAUUAUGAUUGUUGUUGUCCUAUGGACUAAACCCUCCGGUUUAUAUAGACACCAGAGGGGGCUAGGGUUACAUAGAGUCGGUUACAGAGAAGGAAAUCUACAUAUCUGAAUUGCCAAGCUUGCCUUCCAUGCAAAGGAGAGUCCCACCCAGACACGGGACGAAGUCUUCAAUCUUGUAUCUUGAUAGUACAACAGUCUAACAUAAGCAUAUAGUGCGGCUGUCUGAGGACCCCCUAAUACAUGACUCCCUCAGCAGGGCAGAGCUAUCCCUUGAAGGAAAAUAAAAUUUGUUGAGCGACUUACUCCCCCUUAUGCGAGCCCCCUGCCAUAGGGUGAUUUGGACCUGAUGCACUGCGGCGUGCUGCCCGGGGGGCAUGGACAUGAGGGGUGCUGGCGCCAGCAGACUCGAUCGAGGGCUCCUUGCGAGGAUGAAGCUGGAAUGACGGGGUUCAGCAUGGUGCGUGCGCAAUGGCAGGUCCUGGGCGCACACACCUACCUAGCCCCCGCACGAGUAGCGUGAGGAGAAGUGGCGCGCGACUGCCACCUUCCUCACAUCCUUAGACCAGAACAACUUAGGAGAAAACACAACUCGGGGAACCAGCGUUCGAGAAUACCAAAUCCAUUGAGAGAUUGCCAAGAAAACUGCAAGCAACUUCAGAAAGCAAAUGAACAACUGCGUCCGACACCUAAUCUAGUCUUCUCACCAGCGCGGAGCUAAGUGCUGCCACUAGGACGUGGGAGGGAGCCCCCAUGAGGCCCCAGGGCGACUCUCAAGAGACUCCGGGGCGUAUACAUCCCCACUCAUGAUUACGUGAGAGUGUCAUGAGCGGAGACCUUCAUAGGCCGGAGCCUUGCUUCACAGGCCAGAGCCUUUCUUCAGGGGUAGAACUUCUGGAGGUGCUGGAUGUUCCAGGCGUUCUGGAUGGGGACACCGUCCUGUGUCUCCAAGCGCGCCGCCCCAGACCUAGAGACACUGGCAACCCUGAAUGGGCCCUCCCACAUGGGGGAGAGCUUAUGCAGCCCCUCCGUGGAGAGCACCCGCCUCAGGACGAGAUCGCCCACCUCUAACAUCCUGGAGCGGAUGCUGCGGCAGUAGUAUCGCCGCAGCGCCUGCUGGUACCUUGCUGCCCGGAGUGAGGCUUGACGGCGGCAUUCCUCCCUCGGCACGAGAUCCAUCUUCCACGUGGCGUCCUGCUGCGUUUUGUCGAAUGCCAGGACCCGCGUGGAAUGAUGCUUGACCUCAUGAGGGAGAACCGCUUCUGCUCCGUAGAUGAGGAAGAAAUGCGUUUCUCCUGUUGGCCUUGUCGUGGUGGUGCAGAUGGACCACAACACGGACUGCAGCUCGUCGAGCCAACCCCUGUCGCAGGCUCGAGCUUCUUCUUGAAGGUGCGGGUCUUGAGGCCCCUCAGGACCACCGCAUUGGCUCUCUUAGCCUGUCCAUUGCUCUGCGGGUGUGCUACUGAGGAAUAGCAAAUCUGCGUUCCAAGGUUAGCACAGUAUGUUUUGAAAAGAUUGCUAGUGAACUGAGAGCCGUUGUCAGUGAUGAUGCGAUUGGGGACCCCAAAUCGGCUCACGAUUCCCUUGAUGAACUUGAUGACUGAUCCUGCUGGGAUGGUGCGCAUGGCUUCUACCUCCGCCCACUUGGUGAACUUGUCGAUGGCGACGUAGAGGUAUCGGUAGCCCCCUGGCGCCCGAGUGAAUGGCCCCAAAAUGUCCUGCCCCCAGACCGCAAAUGGCCACUUGAGUGGGAUCGUCUGGAGACCCUGCGCUGGCUGAUGGAUCCGCUUGGCAUGGAAGUAGCAUGCUUCACAAGAGCGCGCCAGCUCGGUAGCGUCGUUGAGCGCGGUGGGCCAGUAGAAGCCAUUGUGGAACACCUUGCCCACUAGGGUGCAUGAUGAGGAGUGAUGCCCGCAAUCCCCAUCGUGGAUGUCCGCCAGCAGCUCGAGCCCUUGUUCCCUGGAGAUGCACCAUAACGAAACAUCAUUGGGCCUCCUGCGAUAUAACUCACCAUCAUUAAUAUAGUACGCGGUGGCUUGACGGGCCACGCGCUCGGCGUCCUCAUCCUUCUCUGGCAGGGUCCCUCAAAGCAAGUAUGCCUUGAACUCUUCUGUCCAUCACCCCUCCUAAGGCUCGAGCACAAGCAAUAAGCGGGCUCCUGAGGGGUGACCGCAGGCUGGAGCGCCCAUCUCGGGUGCUUGUGGCAGGUCCUCCUGAGGUAGUGCUGGAGUUGUGACAUGCGGGACCGUAGAUGGCUUGAAGAGACGCUCCUCAAACACCCCUGGCUCCCGAGGGAGCCUACGAGAGGCUCUUUUGGCGAUGUUGUCUGCUUCCUUGUUCGUCCCGCGCGGCACAUGCUACAGCUCCAUGCCCAUGAACUGCUUCUCCAUUUUGCGCACCUCUUGUAGGUACGCCUCCAUGUGUUUGUCCUUAGGCGUGUAUUCCUUAUUGGAGAAAUUGAUGAGAAGUUGAGAGUCGCCCUUGAUGGUGAGGCGCUUUACCCCCAGCACGGCCGCAACCCUGAGCCCGGCGAGCAAGCCUUCGAAUUCUGCAAUGUUGUUGGCGACCUUCUCGCCCGGCUGAAAGCAGAGUUGUACUGCAUAGCAAAGCUUGUCCUUGGUGGGCGAGAUGAGGAAGGCCCCUGCCCCUGCACCUUGCUGAGCAAACGUCUCGUCAAAGUACAUGGUCCAUCCGUCCGGCUCUUCAUCUCCUGGCAAGAGGGAGCAGUCCUCGCUUACUCCGUGGUCUGGAGCGUCGGUCUACUCUGCCACGAAGUCAGCAAGGGCCGCACCGUUGCUGACCCUGGUGGUACUGAACUCGAGAUCAAAUGCUUGAACCUCAAUGUUCCAUUCAGCAACUCGCCCGGCUGCGUUCGGGCUCCAGAGCACCCUCUCUAGCGGGUACACUGAGACAACUCUAAUGGGGUGGCCUUGAAAGUAGUGGCGCGGCUUCCUGGAAGCGACUAGAAGUGCGAGCAAGAGCUUCUGUGGCAUGGGGUAGCGUGCCCGGGCCUCCCCCAGUACUGUGUUGACGAAGUAAACGGGGUGCUCGACGAGGGGGGAGGCAUCAGCAGGAUCUUGUUCUUCACAGGGGCACAGGUCCCUUUUGGCCUCAUGAGGCCUGUGCUCCGGAGCCUCGAUAGCCAUGGGGUCAUUCGUAGCCUCAGGAGGAAUGUCGACCGCUGCACCGGCCGAGACUUCAGAUGCCUUCCCCGGGGUGUGAUGCACUUCCCUUGCUGGUUGUGCAUCCUACUGCGGCUUCUUGACCAAUGGCUCCUUCCUUAGCGCCACCAGGGCGGCGCUUGCUAAGUGUGGGGUUGCUGCCAGAUAGAGCACCAAGGGCUCAAGAGGGCGUGGUGCCACCAUAAUGGGCGGACUGGUCAGAUAUCUCUUGAGGUCCUGGAAGGCUGUGUCUGCCUCGGGGGUCCACUCGAAUGGCUCCUUCCUUUUCAUCAUCUUGAAAAAUGGGAGGGCGCGCUCCCCCAUCCUGGAAAUGAAGCGUACAAGCGAGGUUACGCAGCCAGCCAGCUUCUGCAUCUCCUUCAGGGACUGUGGGGGGUUCAUGUCUUCUAUUGCCUUGACCUUUUCCGGGUUAGCCUCGAUCCCUCCGUGCGAUACCAAGAAGCCUAGAAGCUUGCCGGAGGGGACCCCAAACACACACUUCUCAGGGUUAAGACGAAGAUCCACCGUGUGCAGGCUGGUGAACGUCUCCUCCAGAUCUUCUAUGAGAGUCCUGGUCUCCCGAGACUUCACCACUAUAUCAUCGACGUAGGCCUCCGUGUUUCUCCUGAGCUGCAAACACAGGGCGAUGUGCAUCAACCGCAAGAACGUUGCUCCAGCGUUGCACAGCCCGAAGGGCAUGCAGGUGUAGCAGUACACCCCGCAUGGGGUGAGGAAUGCCGUAUUCUCCACAUCCUCCACGGCCAUCUUGAUCUGGUGGUAGCCAGAGAAGGUGUCCAGGAAGCACAACAGGUCGCACUCGGUGGUGGAGUCGACGAUCUGGUCGAUGUGAGGGAGCGGAAAGGGAUCUUGAGGGCAGGCCUUGUUGAUAUUGGCGAAGUCGACACACAUGCGCUCCUUCCCUCCUUUCUUGGGGAUGAUGACGGGGUUCGACAGCCACUCCGACUACCGCACCUCUCCGAGACCCCUGCGGCUUGUAUCUUACGAGUUUCUUGGACGACGAAGGCCUGGUUCUCGGUGGACUGUCGGCGAGCCUUUCGCUUCACCGGCCGCACAUUUGGGCAUAUCCUCAGGUGGUGCUAGAUUAUCCCCCUCGGGACCCCGGCCAGGUAUUUGGGCAUACCCUCGGGUGGUGCUAGAUUAUCCCCCUCAGGACCCCGGCCAGGUGUUUGGGUUCCCAGGCGAAUACAUCCUUGUUGGCUCGCAGAAAGUUGAUCAAUGCCUCCUCUUGAUCAUGUGGAAGGCCAGCCCCUAUGGUGAAGGUGGCGCUGCCUCUCCCAUCCUCGCAGACCGGCACUUGCUACGUCUCGGCUCGGUCCUAGGAGAACAACUGCUUCUUCUUGGCAGGCGCUGCCUCUGGGCCCCCCUGAUCCUCCUUCUUGCCGGGUAUCGCGGUUGCGGAUGUCUUGAAGGCAAGCUUGAGGGCCUGCAGCGCGCCUUUGGUGUCCCCCGCCACCGUGAGGACACCGUUACUACCUGGCAUCUUCAUGAGGUUGUACGCGGGAUGGCUCGCAGCCAUAAACUGCGCCAAGGCUGGGUAUCCCAGAAUAGCGUUGUAUGGUAGGCUGAUCUUGGCGAUGUAGAAGUCGGCGAGCUCGGUGCGGUAGUUGUCGCGAGUCCCAAAGGUUACAGGGAGUAGGAUCUGCCCCAGGGGCCUGGUGGAGCCGUCUCCAACUCCGGAGAAAGUCUUGGAGGGGCGGAGCCGGCUGGGCGGUACGUGGAGCAGGUCGAACGCCUCUGGGGACAGCACGUUGAGGCCGGCUCCGCCGUCGAUGAGGGUCUUGGUGAUCGCCACUUGGAAGAUGGUGGGGGUGCAGAGCAUCGGGAGCGCUCCUUCUUGCAUCGUGGCAACAGGGUGAUGGUCGGGGCCAAAGGCGAGGUCAGCUUGGGGCGCCGCCCAGCCCGGGGAGCCCCCGAGCCCCCCUGCGUGUUGCCUGCUCGUCGGAAGAACUGCUUGACGUGGCGGUCGGAGGGUGGCGCCUGCGAGCCGCCCAGGAGAGCUGCGACAACCGGGGGCGCCGGCACCACGUCGUGGGCGAGGAAGAGGUCGCACAGCUCCUCCUAGGAGGCCACAGAAGACGCCGGCAGGUUGAGCAACUAGGCGCAUGGCGCACCUAUGAGGGCCAUGGGAAACCAGUUGGCCUUCACCAUGUCAUCUCCGCCAGCCGCCCAAACUGCCUCCUCAUAGGAUUGAAGAAAGGGGGCUGGAUCUGCCGCGCUGUCAUAGCGCGGCGACAUCUCCGAACGGAACUUGGCCGGCCACUGCACUCGCCACAGGGCGGGGGCGAUGCAUCGCAGCCCUGGCGCUUCGCGCGUCGAUGACGCAGAUGGAGGAGCGCCCGCCAUAUGGGUCAGUGGCACGAUCUGGAAGUCGGGGAAGAGGAUUCUGACGCACCCCUACCUGGCAUGCCAAAUGUUGGAUUUUGGGAUCCGGCAACCCUUGAGAGGUUCGAACUCUGGGUGCGUGCAGAGAUCUCAACCUACCCAGCCUGCUUACUCGCGAUCCUCCCUAGCCUAGUGCGUAGAGCUCAUAGAGACACAAAGACACAGGGAUUUAUACUGGUUCGGGCCACCGUUGUGGUGUAAUACCCUAAUCAAGUGUGGUGUGGUGGAUUGCCUCAAGGGGCUAUGGAUGAACUAGUACAAAGGAUGAACAAGCCUCAGGAGGUGAGGUGUUCUUGAGCUGGUGUGAUGCUCGGGGUGGAAUGGAUCUCUCUCCCCACUAUGGUGGUGGCUAAGUCCUAUAUAUAGUAGCCUUGGUCCUCUGCCCAAAUAUGAGUGGGAAGGGAUUCCACAAUGACAGGAUUUGAAAGGGGACAAGUAGUACAGUCUAUCCUGACAAAAGUAGUCUUUGGCUGCGAAAAACCUCUGGUUGAGACGCUGCGGUGGGCUCGGUGAUGACCUCCGUCCUGGCGGUCUUGGUCUUGUUGCACCAGAAUGGAAACCUUUGGCUGAUUCCUCAGGACUCCGCGCCUGUGGCUUGCCUCCCUUGCACCAAAGAGGAAACCUGCGCUCUGCACCGGCCUAGCGCCCGCCUGGCCUUGGUCAUCACGACUCACGUCAGCUGGGCCUCAUGAGGUAGCUGCAGAGAUCUCUCCGCCCCUUAGGAGCCCUCCUGAGGAGGACAACUCCUUUAGGGGUCUUGGCGUCAUCCGCCUCGCGAGGCUUGGCCCCUCGCGAGGGUCUUGCUGUGUUGGUGUUGAGGCGGGAUGUACCAGGCCGUCGAUGGAGCCACGUGGUGGGCCGCAGGCAGGCAAGACUGGAUACCACCAAGACCUGGAUGCCGACAAUAUGAAUGGGGCCGGCCUGCGAGACAGAGCUUAGCCGUUGGGUUUAUCGAGGGUGCUGGGAUGGACCCGAGCACAGACACUGUGCCCAGUCUUCUCAUGCAAUCAUCCUAAGGAAAGACAGCCGGCGCGCGGCUCCCGAGGUGGUGAGGCACUGGGUCGGGCGCCCUAACUCAUCCACCCACCAUUAUCUCAUGCGAGAACAAGGCACCAAGGGCCAUCGGAGGUGACGUACACGGGGACUGGCCCACGAGAUAGAGCUCUAAUACGUCUCCAACGUAUCUAGAAUUUUUGAUUGUUCCAUGCUAUUACAUUAUCUGUUUUGGAUGUUUAAUAGGUAUUUAUAUGCUAUUUUAUAUGAUUUUUGGGACUAACCUAUUAACCUAGAGCCCAGUGACAGUUUCUGUUUUUCCUUGUUUUUGAGUUUUACAGAAAAGGAAUAUCAAACGGGGUCCAAACAAGCUGAAAAUUCCUGAUGAUUUUUUAUGUACAAGAAGAAGCCUCCGAAACAAAAGAGUUGGGCCAGAGGAGUCCCGAGUCAUCCACGAGGGUGGAGGGUGCACCCUACCCCCCUGGGCGUGCCCCCUACCUCGUGGCUGACUCGGAGACCCCCCUGAUGUGAAACCGAUGCCAAAAAUUCCUAUAAAUACAGAAACCCCCGAAAAUAAACCUAGAACAGGAGUUCCGCCACUGCAAGCCUCUGUAGCCACCAAAAACCAAUCGUGACCCUGUUCCGGCAUCUUGCCGGAGGGGGGAUCCAUCACCAGUGGCCAUCUUCAUCAUCCCCGCACUCUCCAUGACAAGGAGGGAGUAGUUCACCCAUGGGGCUGAGGGUAUGUACCAGUAGCUAUGUGUUUGAUCUCUCUCUCUCUCUCUCUCUCUCUCUCGUGUUCUUGAUUUGGCAUGAUCUUGAUGUACCGCGAUCUUUGCUAUUAUAGUUGGAUCAUAUGAUGUUUCUCCCCCUCUACCUCUUGUAAUGGAUUGAGUUUUCCCUUUGAAGUUAUCUUAUCGGAUUGAGUCUUUAAGGAUUUGAGAACACUUGAUAUAUGUCUUGCAUGUGCUUAUCUAUGGUGACAAUGGGAUAUUCACGUGAUCCACUUGAUGUAUGUUUUGGUGAUCAACUUGCGGGUCCAGUGACCUUGUGAACUUAUGCAUAGGGGUUGGCACACAUUUUCGUCUUGACUCUUCGGUAGACACUUUGGGGCACUCUUUGAAGUUCUUUGUGUUGGUUUGAAUAGAUGAAUCAGAGAUUGUGUGAUGCAUAUCGUAUAAUCAUACCCGCGGAUACUUGAGGUGACAUUGGAGUAUCUAGGUGACAUUAGGGUUUUGGUUGAUGUGUGUGUUAAGGUGUUAUUUUACUAUGAACUCUAGGGUUGUUUGUGACACUUAUAGGAAUAGCCCAAUGGGUUGAUCAGAAAGAAUAACAUUGAGGUGGUUUCGUACCCUACAAUAAUCUCUUCGUUUGUUCUCCGCUAUUAGUGACUUUGAAGUGACUCUUUGUUGCACAUUGUGGGAUUGUUAUAUGAUCCAAUUAUGUUAUCAUUUUGAGAGAACUUGCACUAGUGAAAGUAUGAACCCUAGGCCUUGUUUCGAAGCAUCGCAAUACCGUUUUCGCUCUCUUUUAUCGCUUGCUACCAUGCUGUUUUUAUAAUUUCAGAUUACAAAAACCUAUAUCUACCAUCCAUAUUGCACUUGUAUCACGAUCUCUUCACCGAACAGUGCACCUAUACAAUUUACCAUUUUAUUGGUUGUGUUGGGGACACAAGAGACUCUUUGUUAUUUGGUUGCAGGGUUGUUUGAGGGAGACCAUCUUCGUCCUAUGCCUCCCACAGAUCGAUAAACCUUAGGUCAUCCACUUGAGGGAAAAUUUGCUAUUGUCCAACAAACCUCUGCACUUGGAGGUCCAACAAUGUUUACAAGAAGAAGGUUGCGUAGUAGACAUCAAGUUCUUUUCUGGCGCCAUUGCCGGGAAGGUGAGUGGUUGAAGGUAUAUCUUUAGAUCUUGCAAUCGGAUCUUUUAGUUUCUUGUUUUAUCACUAGUUUAUUCUAUAAAAGGAAACUACAAAAAAUGGAAUUGAUGUUGCCACAUAUGCUUUAUCUUUUUAAUGUCUUUCAUGAAAAAUAAGGAUUCCGAUAAUUGUGCCAAAGUGUUAGAAGAAGAAUGCAAUAAAAUGUUUGGCACUAGAUCUUUGAAUGAUGAUCAUGAUUGCAAUGUUGUUAGUAUGAACUCUUUGAAUAUCCAUAGUACUAAUGAUGAUUGCACUAGUCAUGAUAAAAAUGUCUCUUAUAAUCAUGUCAACUUUUGUGGAGUGCAUAUUGUUUGCAAGUACACACCAAAUAGGGAAGAUAGAUUUUGCAACAGGAAUAAGUAUUUAGAAACUAAAUGGUUGCAAGAGCGGCGAGAUGUUUGUUCUGAAAAUGUAAAUUUUCUUAGCCAUACUUGUGAACUUUGCAAUGAACGUGGUCAUUUAAAUCUCCAAUGCAAAUUGUUUCAUGAUCGAAUCGUGUCCAAAAAUUGUGAUGACUUGAUUUCCCUUGUGCAUCAUAAUGAACUUAGUCUGCUUGUGGGUUAUGAAGAAAUGAAAUGUAUAACUAAGGAUAUCCAAAAAAAUUCCUUGAUAAAGUUCUUGAUUUUGAUCUAGAGGAAAUUUAUAUGUAUUGUGCGGUGAAUUGCAUUGAAAAUCUUUAUAUUGCUAAUUACAUAAAGACAAGAAAACAAAUGGAAGAUGAAGAGAAUACUAAUGAAAGGGAAGAAGUUUCCCAAUAUCCUCCUAUUAUUUUUUAUGAUGAAUCGGGUAACGAGGGGGAGCUUUCUAUACAACUGAUCUCAUUAAUAAGGAGCUCCAAAAGGAGGAUUAAACCAACACAUAAUGUGGAGAAGAAAAUGAAAAGACGGAGAAGCAAAAGUAAAAAGGUAUCUCUUCCAAAUGAUGUUGCUCCUAAUAUUGUUAUGCCUAUUACUCAUCGUGAUGAUAAUAAUUGCUAUACUAUUGGUGCUAUCCAUACUAUUAAUUAUAAGAGUGAUUAUGCUUAUGAUAUGCAAAAGCCCAAGCUUGGGGAUGCUAUGUUUGAUGAGAAGGACAUGUUUGAGAAUUUAUUUUCUACAAUUAAUGUUUGUCCCAAGCUUGUGGAUACUAUGGUUAAUGAAGAUGAUAUUUUUAGUCUCCCAAGUUUUGAUAUGCAAAUUUAUUAUGAUGAUAGCAUGCCUCCUACUUAUGAUGAUUAUAUUGAUGAAAGUGGGUUUGGAAGAGUGUCAACUUUAGGAAGUAAUGAUCCCACUAUUUUGGAGGGUGUUGAAUCUUAUUGUGGCAAUUAUGAAAGUGGAUUUGGAGAGGUUAUGACUUUAUUUAGUAAUGAUUUCACUAUCUUGGAAGAGGUUUCAAUUGAUUGUGAUGAGAACAAAGUUGCUACUUAUGAUGAUUAUUGUGAUGAUACUUAUGUCAUUAAAAGUAGUGAUUAUUAUAUUUAUAAAACUUCUCAUGAUUAUGAUUACCCUUUGUCUGACAUUACUCUUUUAAUGUGGAAAUAAUUUAUAGUAUUUGAGUUUCUUAUGAUACUCCCACUAUUCCGAAUGAGGAGAAUUUUGCUUAUGUGGAGAGUAGUAAAUUUUGUAUGCUUGUGGCUCAUGAAAAGAAUGCUUUCUGUGAUAGUUAUAUUGUUGAAUUCAUUCAUGAUGCUACUGAAAAUUAUUAUGAGGGAGGAAUAUAUGCUUGUAGGAAUUUCAAUAAUAUCAAGUUUCCUCUCUAUGUGUUGAAAAUCUUGAAGUGAUGCUUGUUUUGCUUUCCUAUGCUAGUUGAUUCUUUGUUCUCAUAAGUUGUUUGGUCACAAAAUCUUAGGCAUAGGAAGUGGGUUAGGCUUAAAUGUGCUAGUCAUAUGCUUCAUGAUGCUCCCGUUAUGUGCUAGUCAUAUGCUUCAUGAGCAUCAUUGUCAUCAUCAUGCCGAGCUAAAAAGGCAUUAAAGAAAAGCGCUUGUUGGGAGACAACACAAUAUUUACUCCUACUGUUUUUGUGUGUUCACAUGAUUAAGCUACUGUAGUAAUCAUGUUUUCUAGCUUUUGUUUCAAUACAAUGCCAAGUAAAGCCUUUAAGAUAGCUUGUGGUGAUAGUUGCGUUGAUCCUGCUGAAAAUCAGAAACUUUUGCGCUUAGUAAAUAAUUUCCAGAAUCUUAUUGAAACGUGCUUUUGACCUAAUUCUUGUUGAUAAGGAUUGGUGCAGAAAUUUCUCAGGUGGAACUAACUAUUUCAGAAUUUUUGGAGUUACAGAAGUAUUAGAGAGUUACAGAUUACUACAUACUGUUCUGUUUUUGACAGAUUCUGUUUUCUAUGUGUUGCUUGCCUAUUUUGAUGAAUCUAUGAGUAGUAACGGAGGGUAUGAACCAUAGAGAAGUUGGAAUAUAGUAGAUACUAAACCAACAUAAAUAAAGAAUGAGUUAAAAAUAGUACCAAAAGUGGUGAUUUAUUUCCUUAUACUAACGGAGCUUAUGAGAUUUUCUGUUGAGUUUUAUGUGGUGAAGUUUUCAAGUUUUGGGUGAAAUUCGAUGGACUACAGAAUAAGGAGUGGCAAGAGCCUAAGAUUGGGUAUUCCCAAGGCACCCCAAGGUAAUAUUCAAGGACAACCAAGAGCCUAAGCUUGGGGAUGCCCCGGAUGGCAUCCCCUCUUUCGUCUUCGUUCAUCGGUAACCUUACUUGGAGCUAUAUUUUUAUUCACCACAUGAUAUGUGUUUUGCUUGGGGAGUCAUUUCAUUUUAUUUUGUUUUGCUUGAUGUUUGAAUAAUAUCCCAAGAUAUGAAAUUCCUAAAUUUUAGAGAGUAUUCACAUAGUUACAUAAUUGUUCAACUACUCAUUGAUCUUCACUUAUAUCUUCUGGAGUAGUUUGUCAUUUGCUCUAGUGCUUCACUUAUAUCUUUUUAGAGCACGAUGGUAGUUUUCUUUUUGAAGAAAUUGAUGAACUCUCAUGCUUCACUUAUAUUAUUUUUAGAGUCUUUAGAACAGCAUGAUAAUUUUCUUUUGCUAUAAAUUUAGUCAUAAUAUGAUAGGCAUUCAAGAGGGAUAUAAUAAAAAACCUUCAUAUAAAGAGCAUUGAAUACUAUGACAAGUUUGAUUCUUUAUGAUUGUUUUGAGAUAUGAAGAUGGUGAUAUUAGAGUCAUGCUAGUGGAGUAAUUGUGAAUUUUAUAAAUACUUGUGUUAAAGUUUGUGAUUCCCGUAGCAUGCACGUAUGGUGAACCAUUAUGUGAUGAAGUUGGAGCAUGAUUUAUUUAUUGAUUGUCUUCCUUAUGAGUGGAGGUCGGGAUCGCGCGAUGGUUAAGUCCUACCAACUCUUCCCCUAGGAGCAUGUGUGUAGUACUUUGUUUGAUGACUUGUAGAUUUUUGCAAUAAGUAUGUGAGUUCUUUAUGACUAAUGUUGAGUCCAUGGAUUAUACGCACUCUCACCCUUCCACCAUUGCUAGCCUCUCUUGUAUCGUGCAACUUUCGCCGGUACCAUACACCCACCAUAUACCUUCCUCCAAACAGCGACUAUACCUACCUAUUAUGGCAUUUCCAUAGCCAUUCUGAGAUAUAUUGUCAUGCAACUUUCCACCGUUCCAUUUAUUAUGACACGCUUCAUCAUUGUCAUAUUGCUUUGCAUGAUCAUGUAGUUGACAUCGUAUUUGUGGCAAAGCCACCUUUCAUAAUUAUUUCAUAUAUGUCACUCCUCAUUCACUUCGCAUCCCGGUACACCACGGGAGGCAUUCAUAUAGUCAUAUUUUGUUCUAAGUAUCGAGUUGUAAUUCUUGAGUUGUAAGUAAAUAAAAGUGUGAUGAUCUUCAUUAUUAGAGCAUUGUCCAAGUGAGGAAAGGAUGAUGGAGACUAUGAUUCCCCCACAAGUCAGGAUGAGACUCCAAAAGAAAAAUAAAAAAUAAAAGUGAAGCCAAAAAAAAGAGAAGGCCCAAAAAAACAAAAAAACAACAAAAAUGAGAGAAAAAGAGAGAAGGGGCAAUGCUACUAUCCUUUUACAACACUUGUGCUUCAAAGUAGCACUAUGAUCUUCACGAUAGAGUCUCCUAUGUUAUCACUUUCAUAUACUAGUGGGAAUUUUUCAUUAUAGAACUUGACAUGUAUAUUCCAACAAUGGGCUUCCUCAAAUGCCCUAGGUCUUCAUGAGCAAGCACGUUGGAUGGACACCCACUUACAGUACAAAAAAAGACACAUCCGUGACAUUUUGGGCCGAAUGAAUUUUUUUUCUGUCAUGCUUAUGACACUUCUAUGACAAUAAUUGUGACAAAACCCGGUAUCAUCAUAGAUGUGGUGGGCUCCUAUUUCUAUGACAAAAAAUCAUGACAGCAAAUGGGCUUUUUGUCCUGGGCGGGCCGGAGACGCAGCUGCAUGACAUUCUUUGGGCCGUCCAGACGAAAAAAACCAUGGUAGAAGUGAGGGCGAGGAAAAUUUCGGGGAGUUCGCAGUUACGGUUGGUGGUCGGGGGCCGAGCGAUGCGCGUUUCUCUUGUACACGUAUGCGCGUGUGUGCGAGGCGUUGGACUAACUGAACCCCAGCGAGGCGUUGAGCUCUACCUUAACCCGAGCGAUUGCACUAGCUACGUUACUGAACCCGAGUGAUCGAUCCCCUACUAUUAACUGAACCCGAGUGAUUCCUUCUCUACUGCUGCUAACUGAAGCCGAUCGAACCCUGUUGCCUCCUUCCCUUGAUGAACAGUGAGCGUUGUUGGGGGGUUUGGAUGAACAGUUCCCGGCGGGGGUGGAUGAAUAGGACCUCUAGUGUUCCUCUGGAUGAACAUGACCCCGAUCAAGCUGGUUGGGGGUGGAUGAACAGGACCCCGUGGAGGGCUGGAUGAAUAGGACAACCCCAUGGAGGGCUGGUUGAACUGUAGCCGUGGAGGGCAGGAUGAACAGGACCCCGUGGAGAGGGUUGGUUGAACAGCAGCCGGUGGAGGAGUGGUGGAGGCUGGAUGAACAAGAGUCCGUGGAUGAACAGUAUGAAGGAAAUAUGCCCUAGAGGCAAUAAUUGUGUCACCCCGAUCCGCAUGGAGCAGGGGGCCUUCACACGUCAUCCCAGGAUAACACCUGACGCACGACAGGUCCAUGAUACAGCAUUCCAGGUACAAGAAUAUUCAUCAAAUACAUGUGUAUAUGAUUACAUCAGUGAUGAAUAUAAUCUUCUGGCAUAGCCCUAAGGCUAUUUACAUGGCAGCGGAAGUCUAUUUAAAUGGCGGUGGAAGUCUUGGCAGCAUAUCACUCUGGCUGGGCUCUACAACUCACAGGACUGGC